rnacentral:lncRNA from 1 species
CUCAGGCUUCUCCUUUAAAGUCAAGGAUCAAAUUAACUCAUGUUACGAAAUUCAAAUUAACCUGAUUUAAAUUUUUACAUUAUUUAUUCAGGUGUGGCCAAUUGAGGGCAUCAAGAAGUUCGAGACCCUAUCGUACCUGCCACCACUCACCGUGGAGGAUCUUUUGAAGCAGAUCGAGUACCUGCUUCGAUCCAAGUGGGUGCCUUGCCUCGAGUUCAGCAAGGUUGGAUUCGUCUACCGUGAGAACCACAGGUCUCCCGGGUACUACGAUGGCAGGUAUUGGACCAUGUGGAAGCUGCCCAUGUUCGGCUGCACCGAUGCCACCCAGGUGCUCAAGGAGCUCGAGGAGGCCAAGAAGGCCUACCCCGAUGCCUUUGUCCGUAUCAUCGGCUUCGACAACGUCAGGCAGGUGCAGUUGAUUAGCUUCAUCGCCUACAAGCCCCCAGGUUGCGAGGAGUCUGGUGGCAACUAAGCUAAGAUCAAGCAUCGCGCUGGUGGAUUGCUGCCUAUAAUAAUAGUAUGCAGCUUUGUUUUGGGCUAUGUUGAUGAUAUAUCAAUAUAUAAUAUGCUAUAUAUUUUUAUUUUACAGUUUGGUUAUGUACCAUCUCAAUGGCCUCUGCUCUUAACACAUAUGUAAUAAUCUCUUCCCUCCCUCUCCGGCCGGUUUUAUUGUAAGAGUACUACAAUUAUCGUUGGGUGAGGAUAUGUGAAAACAAAGCUCCGGCUAUAUACACACAAGAUAUGUAUCUAGAGCAUAUCUGAUAAAUUCGUCGACAAUAAAAAAAAUGGAUGGUAUCACGUAAUUAUGUUUGUUUUUAAGUAUUUGUUUGCAAUGUUUGUUUCUAUGUUUAACCGAAUGUAUUGUGAAUAUAGGAUCUGACAUAAUUAUUUGUGUAAGUUAAUUAGUAAACGAAUGUAUUUCUUUUUGAGAGAACAAUGAUUUGAUCUUUUGUGCAACGGCUGAUAAGUCCUUAAAAAAAUGAAUAAAUCAAACAACAAUAAUUUAUCUCAGCACAGUACAUCUCAGUUCACCUGACUGAGCACGUUAGCAACGAGCACAGCAUAUUUUUCAUAUUUUGCUUGGGAAAACAAACAAAAGUUAGCAAUCAACGACACACGGCCAGGUUGGAUGGAUCGCCCGUCUCGUCCCCGUGGUCCAGAGGAUAAGGCUGAUAGCCAUGCCAGCCUGCCCGCCCGCAUCUUCACCGGCGAGCCGCAGCCACUCCUCCCCAAUCCUGUCGGUAACCAUCCAAAGCGGGAAAUUUAACUAUUUGCCACUCUUAUGACAUGGUAAUUAACGAUUUGCCACGUUCUGUCAAUAACACGUGGGCCCUCAUGUGUCUAUGACAUGUAGGUCUAGUGACAAAUCGUUAAGCACUAUUCGUAAGAGUGGCAAAUAGUUAAAAGCUCCAUCCAAAGCAACGGGCAUGGCUUACAUUUCUAAUCAUUUGAGAGGGUGUUUCCUUGUGUAUCUUUUUCUAAAUUCAAUACAAAUAGUUACUUCUUUAAAAUAUUAAAAAUAUAGAGUAUAGUGAUAUACAACACUCUAAAAAAAACAUCAAGUUUAAAUACAACGUACACAUUGAGAAUCAAAAGAAACGGAAGUCGAAUGUAAAUAGUACUCUUUUUUAUAUAUCAACUAUGAAUUGAAUUUGGAUAUAAAUAUAAAUGUUAUUAAAUUGUUUGAGAAUUUUUCUAUAACUAUUUGAAUGAUUUUUAGAAAAAAAAUUCCUCAAGCAAUGCUUGAGUUUAAGAUGGGGGUAUUCACUUAACCUUUACAAACCUCAUGUCCCUAGCUAGUAGUGUUUAGUGGGAAAAAGUUAGGGUAUUUAAGAUAGUUGGUUAAUAGAUUAGAAGUGGUGUGAGAUAGGAGUAAAAAGAAGUGGAUUUAUCUCUAUUAUUAUAAAAAUUGAAGAUGUUUUUGUCGAUACGUUGGUACGUUAUCCGUGCAUGAGUCGAUUUUUAAUUUUGUUCGCUUUUGGAAAUACAUAUCCGCAUUUGAGUCACUUCGCUCACUUUUAGAAAUACAUAAGGACUCGUAUAAGAUAUCUAUUUAAAAAAACCCGCAUGCUAACUUGAGAUGAUUAGACUCCUAAUGUAGCUCAUGAUUAUAUAUAUAUAUAUAUAUAUAUAUAUGUGUGUGUGUGUGUGUCCAAGCCAAUUAUCACAGUGAAUUUCAUCUUAACUAAACCAUAUAACAACAAUAAGAUUAAAAUAACCUUCGCCUGUUGUGAGGCACGGACAUUUUUUUCAUGUUGAGAAAAACGAUCGAGAGUGACGUAUUAGAUGUAGUUAAAUAUAUACAUAUGAGAUAUAUCUAUAUAUAUUAACUUUAUUUCAUAUUUUUUUUGGGUUUUCCGGAAAUGCUCAGGAUCGAUCCCAUUGGGUCUGCCCCUGCCCUUUGAGAUCGAAACAGUUCCAUAGUUGGCGUUAUAUAAGGUGCUGGAGCCUCAAAUUGAGACAUGCAAUCAUCCUCUCUUUAUUUCUACUGCUAAGCACAUAACUACUCUAGUACUAAUAAGCUAGCUAACUAAGGGUCUGUUAAGAUUGAUGCCAAGAGACAUGCAAUCAUCCUCUCUUUAUUUCUACUGCUAAGCACAUAACUACUCUAGUACUAAUAAGCUAGCUAACUAAGGGCCUGUUCAGAUUGAUGCCAAAAUAAGCCUUACCAAAAUUUAUCAAUGCCAAAAUUUUGAUAAAUUGACAAUAUUACCAAAAUUUUAGUAAGAUUGGCUUAAUAAUGUUGCCAAAAUUAUAUAAACAUUACUAAUAUUUAGUAACAAACUAAACGCAGUCACAUAAUUAUUAAUUUUACCAAAUAAUGAUAUGGUUGAAAAUGUCAUCAAUCUAAAAGGCCCUAGCUACGUAACUAUGGCUCCCAUUGUCAUAGCCUCCUUGGCCACCUCCGUGGCUCCAUUCCAGGGGCUCAAGUCCACCGCCGGCCUCCCAGUGAGCCGCCGCUCCACCAACUCAGGCUUCGGCGACAUCACCAACGGCGGAAGGAUCAAGUGCAUGCAGGUACCAUACGUCCUCAGCUUCUUCUUCAAAGUGAUCGUGUAGGAUCGAAUACAGAGAAGCCUAUUAAAGGUAGUGUAAAUCUCUAUCUUUGUUUAGCUUUUCGGUGACAUGCAAAACGUGAUAAACUAUUAGCAUAUAAAUAAUUAAGUAUUAAUUAUUAUAAACUUAAAAUAAAGUUUAUUUGAUUCUUUCAAGAAACUACUAUAUAAAAAUUAUUUUUGCAAAAAAAAAACAAACCAUUUAACCAUUUGAAAAACAUACUAACAGAAAAUAAAAAAAAGUUGAAGUUUGGAGUUGAAAAAAAAAGAAACGGCUAAAAGGGAUGAAUGUUAGAUAAAAUCAAAGAAAGUCAGACAGUCAAAAGUUUGAAAAACAAAAACUAACCCAACCUAAAAAUCCUAAAGAACAUUUCUGGCGGUCUGAGCGGACCCAUCGUACUAAAAACAUAGUUAUGUAAAAACAUGUUUUCUCUAAAACUAGCUAUUGGAUUAAAGCCAAAACUUGUUAUAAUAAAGUAGACAAACCAUAGAACAACUCCACUGGGUGAAUUUGCAAACCAAUCAAUGUUUAAGAGAAAACAUCCUCAAAAUGUCUGUUGCCUCAAAUUUUACCAAAUCUAAACAUAGCCUAAAAUUUAAGAAAAUUUGAAACCUUCCAUAUCUGAUCUAUGAAGUAUUAGAAAUGUUAUUAACUUAAACAAAAUUGCCGAAAAAUGAAGAAUCACAAAUUAAUGACAAGACGAAACAAAAUGUAAAACCUACACAACCGAAAAAGAUCAUCGACGCCUUGAUGAUUGAAUAUGAUCUUUAUUGUCAAGCAUUGUCCAUAAGGUGUAGCCACAACACCUCUCACAAAAUCUCUCAAAACCCUAACACAAUGAGCCCUAAUAUCUCGAAUGUCUCAAUUGUCUUUACCCUCAAGGCAUAUCCUCACUCUCUAUUUGUACCCAUGGAUGUGGUUGUUCAUAGCCACGAGCUCAACUAAAAAUAGGAAUCAUAAUAACAUAGGAAACCCCUCAAAUUAAGGUUACACUCAUCCUUUUACAAAUACGGACUCAAUUACAACUCAAACUUGGACACCUUCCAAACUUGACCCCUUUCCAUACACAUACAUAUCCUCAUGUAUCCUGCAUGAUCUCCUUUCGCUUGAGCAUCCUACAUAAUCUCCUAGAUUGUCUAGACCUCAACGUUUCCCAAGUUUACUCCCGAUUCAUCAGUGGGAAUACUCCCGUUGUUUUAAGCAACACCUACAUAUAGACAAUCAAGAAACUAUAUCCAAGUACAAGUUCUUUCCAACUUAACUCACAUUAACAUAAAUGUAGUUCAUAAUACACACAUGAAACAUCUAGAAGUCAUAAACAUUAAGCACCAAAUGCAAAACUCAAUUUUACCCCGAAACCGACUCCAACCAAGAAUACCCUGGACCACCUUUAGCAUUCCUCCAGUCGGUCCACCAUGUACUAGCUUGACCAUCAAGGUCGGUCCUCCAUGUAUAGGUCGGAACAUCUAGCCUUGUCCAGAACGCUUCGCUAAUUUAAACACUUCACCAAAGUCAAUUCAAACACUUGUACAACUAGUUGUUCAUCCUAAAACCUUAAAUCAGCACAAUGAUUACACGGAUCAAUCAAACUAACUGAUGUUCAAAAGUUCAGAGUGACCUGAUUCAAUUGUUUCCAUUUGUUUAGGUGUGGCCGGUUGAUGGCAAGAAGAAGUUCGAGACAUUGUCGUACCUACCGUUGCUCACCGCGGAAGACCUCCUAAAGCAAAUCGAGCACCUGCUCUAGUCUGAGUGGGUGCCUUGCCUCGAGUUUAGUGAUGUAGGGUUCAUCUAUUGUGGGAACCAUAGGUCUCCUGGGUACUAUGAUGGCAGGUACUGGACCAUAUGGAAACUGCCCAUGUUCGGCUGCAGCGACAACAGCCAGGUGAUCAAGGAGCUCGAGGAGGCCAAGAAGGCAUACCCAGAUGCAUUCAUUCACAUCGUCGGCUUUGACAACGUCAGGCAUGUGCAGUGCAUUAGCUUCAUCGCCUAAAAGCCCCCCGAGUUACAAGGAAAGCAACUCCUUUGACGUAAAAUUAGACGGAUAGAAGUCCCUAAUAGGUGGAGCCCAUCCUCAUGGGACCACACAUCAAGGGCUUCAUGGCCUACAAGCCCCUGGGUUGUGAGGAGUCCGACACAACUAAGCCAAGAUCAAGCAUCACAGCACAAAAGUAAUGUCUCUUUAGCAAUGCAUAGUUUCUAGGAGCCAAAAUAAUCUAUAUGCAUUGCCUUUGCUGUUGUUACAAGGAUAUGUGCUAAUACAUGGUUAUGCUUGGUAAUAACGCUGCAAUGUUGCAACGGAUAAGUUCAGCUGGAACACUACUUUAAUAUACGUUUCUACCUUCUAUAAUUGCCAUCUUUAUUUUGCAUUAUAUUUUUUUUUCAGUUAUCAUAAUAAUCAAAUUAAUUGUAUGAUAUAAUAUUGGAAUGUUUAAAUCACAUCAAUAGGCAAUGAACAUCAACGCAUCAUUUCAUUCAUAAGUAGGAACGAUAUAUUUUUUGGGAAUACAAUAUAAUCUUACAAAAAUGCUUUUGCAAAAUCAAAUUAACAUGUCCCACACCUGAAUCGAAUGCUCCACCAAGGUUGCUAGAGGCGUGUCACGAGUACCUUCGAUAGAACCUGCCGAAAUUAGUUUGGGGCUGUCCAGGCGAAGCAUGACAACAAAACCCUGAUUGCUGUGAAGGCGAAGGAUUAGGGCGAACCACGUGGCAAAGCCCAGGACCUUCGCCCCCAAGCCAAAUGUCUUCGCCCAGUCCAAUGGUCUUAGGGCCCGAAGGGGUCAACUAGACAACGAAGGCCCACCUUGCGGCCCAAGAAGAUGCCCAGGGUUAAAUUUUCUGUAAUUAUCCUCAUAAAUGUCCCUAUCGUAAGUGUAUCUAUGUAAAUUCCCUUGUACCAAGUAAACCUAGGGUGCAUGCGUUUGUACUAAGCCUAUAAAUAGACCCCAAGGGGCAUUUAUUGGGGGGAUCCAAAAAUUUCAAUAUUAAUACAUAAUUUUUACAUUUCCACAAAGAGUGAACCACAUCCUUCGACGGACGCAGUUGUCAUUCGACAAUAGCUGGAACCGUCUGUGGGGAACCCAGACCAAAACCACUAAUUAUUCCUCCGUCAGUUUGAUUACCUCAGUUGUUGGUAGUGGUCUUUUGUUGUUGAGGUUGUCCUUGAGGUAACGCGCGUAGGUGGGCACUUGCAUUGUGUCCAACAAUGGCACGAUGAUGUGGAUUUUCUGGAUCACCUAAACAAAACGAGCAAACUGCUCGUCCACCAAUGGCUUCUUGUAUCUUUGAGGGAAUGGCAACAGCCUUGUGUCGCAGUACUCUUGCGGCAAGGUCUUCUCUGGCUGAACCUCUUCAUUAACCGUGUUGUCAGAUGGUGCUUCCCGAGUGUGGCUAGCUCCUGCAGGAUUAGGAUAUGGCGGAUCGCGAGUGGACUUACCUCCCCUCAUCGUGAUCGCCUUAACAUUUUCAACAGAGGAUUUGGGUUGCCCCAGAAUCCUUCCAGAUUCAUUAGCAGGUACUAGAGCAGCUAAUUGUGCCAACCGGGUUUCAAUCAUUUUAUUAAAACUCAGCUGGUCUUGAAAUGCAGAAGCGAAGCCAUCUAGCUUAACAUUUAUAUUUUCCAGGGUCUUGUCAUUAGCAGCUAGCUUUUUGCUAAGAGCAUCUGUAGUUUUGGUUUGCGCAAAAACAAGAUCCUUCAAGGAAGGUUGGUUAGAGAAAUUACCGUUAUUGUUGCCUCCUUGGAAAUAUGGGCAUGGCUGGUUCUACUAUUGACCUCCUUGUGGUCGGAACCCGUUGUUGUUGUUGUUGCCCAUAUACAUCGCCUCUUCAUGGGUUUCUGAGUAGUCGUUCCUAGAAUGACCCGUGCCGCCGCAGACUUCACACGUAAAGUGCGAGUCUCAUGCCUUGACGGUGCCUUUAGGUCAUUUCUCGUGGUCGUCCAAGCGUUUUAUGAUGAGGUCCAGUUUUGCAGCGAGCAUCUCCGUCUCCUUGACGGUGUGCAUUCUUCGCUGACGGGUCUAGAGUCGUUCCUCGCUCCAGCACAUGUUGGAGACCUUCUUCUCUAUGAGAUCGACGGCUCCUCUGCCCGUCUUAGAGAAGAAGGCUCCUCCAGCUGCCGCGUCUAGGUGAUCACGGGACGUGGGAGUGAGUCCAUUAUAGAAGUUCUGCAGGAUCAGCCAGUCGUCCAUCCCAUGAUGAGGACAGGCAGCCACAUACUCCAGUAGUCGUUCCCACGCCUCGGGAAUAGACUCGUCUCUUGUCUGCUGGAAACUUGAGAUUCUCCCACGUAGGGCAUUGGUUUUGCCCAUUGGGAAGAACUUUGAUAAGAAUGCCGUUGAGCAUUUGUCCCAGGUGUUGGUCGUAGCGAAGUUGGCAUAAAACCACUGCUUCGCUUUCCCAAGGAGAGAAAACGGAAACAAUCGGAGCCUGACGGCGUCAGGAUUGACGCCCUUCAUCGUGUACGUGCUGCAAAUCUCCAGGAACUGUUGCAGGUUUGCAUUGGCAUCAUCGUCUGGCUUGCUACAGAAUGGGCUAGCCUGCGUCAUCGUGAUGAGGCUGGACUUCAGAUCAAAGUCCAUGUCUCCCAUGUUGAUUUGCGGCCCAGUGGCCAUGUUGUCAACAGAGGGAGCAGCGGACUCGCUGAGGGUCAUGUCAGCCAUGGUUUUGAAGGUUGGUGGCACGGGAAUGGCUGGUUUCUAGUAACAAUCCGGCCCAGGUGGGGUUGGCCGAGGCCCAACAAAUUAAGGUUGCCCGGACCCCAACAGUUCUUGGGCACAUCCACUCGGGGAAAGGCCCAAUCUCUCUAAAAGACUAGUCCAAUAGGGGAAGGGUGACUCUCCCUUUAAGGUGGCUUCCUCCUCCCAAGCUAAGCAAGGUGGGAUUAUUCAGAGGCUCACACGGUCGCCGCCCGACUUUUGCGUCUUUGCCAUCGGGUAAUAGUGGAGGAUGUCCUCAUCAGUUUCUUUGUCGGGAGAGUUUUCUGUGGAGCAACGACCCGCGGCUUGACGCUCCAAAAGAAAACUUCUGGAUUUUCCUUGAAACUUUCCGGCAAGUUGAAAUCAGUCAUACACUACCCUGUUUCCACAAUAAAAGUGAAAACAACCAAGGUUAGCAUGCAAAGCACAAUGAUUAUACAGAGGUUAAUAUAAAGUAUUAGUUAUGUAAUCUCUUUUAUAAAUCUUCUCCGGCAACGGCUUAAAAAUGCUUAUUGGUAUUUCUUAACGACAUUACUAGAAAUAUAAUUCCCAGCAAUGGCGCAGAAAUACUCCUUGUAUAUUAUGGUUACAGAGUUCAUCCGCAAGCGCACGGAUAUACUAUUGUAGUAUUUCACCCGAGAGUAUUCAAAGGGUAUCGUAUUUGUUUAAUCCCGUGGGAAGAUUAUAAUAGAGAGAACCAUACUAAUAAUUUAUAUAUUACUUGUGAUAACCAAAGUCUAAACAGGGGUUAAUGUAAUCCAAAGGGUAGAGUGACACUAAGCAGAAGAAUUAAUACUCUCAUACAUAAUUAUCUAAACUAAGUGGAAAGAAAAUAGAGAGAACCUAUUCCUAUAUUUCUAGUGUUUGAUGAAAACAAAACAACGAACACACAGAAAUAAGGAAACCCUGUAUUUUAUUAAUCACGAUUCAUUAACAUGAAUGUUACAAAUACAUGAGGGCUCCCGUAGGAGUUCGCCUUUUGCCUUCGCGAGGAAUGCUUAAUAGAAAGAUAUGCUGACUGGAGAUUGCGUGCAGUCCGCUGAUUCCCGGCGCCUAGCAAUGAGACUACCGGUUAAUUACAUCCAUAGGACGAGCCUACGGAACACCUCCGAUUAAGCUGCGCUUUGUGAUUGUCAUCUUCAAAAUUAAUUACUCGCCGAAGGUUGAGGUUGGUGCAGAUUUAAUGGUGAAUAUAGUGAAUGUGGAACAGGUGGCUUUAUUUCGCCAAAACCCGAUCACAAUACACUACCAACACGUCGGUGUGCGGAGAGAAUUUGGUGAAGCGGGUGACAUUUGCCUCGUCGGUACCCAGUCAUGUAUCCCGGCCUUCAUCAAACAUAGAUUUUAUGGUUUCUUUUGCCUCGUCGGUGCCCAGCAACGGUGUAUCCGGCUCCCGUCCAUUUUAGACGUGUUAAUAGUAUAGUGACCUGGCCUUGUCGGCACUCGGCCAUGAUUUCGUCUAGCCUCAUCGGUAAUAGACAAAUGAAAUGAAUGAAUAGCAGUAGCCCUGUUAGCUUUAGCCAAUACGUCGCCCGGCCUCGUCGGUCUCGGACGUAGCACAAAUAUUGAUGAAUCGGCCAUUUCAUCUCGUCGGUAUUCAGCCACGAUGACGACGUGUAUUUUAAAUCUGCACGCCUCGCCCUCAUGGCUAGCGUUGUUUUAUUGUGCGAAUAAUGCUUGUCUUCAGGAAUUGUGAGAAUUGCUCCCAUCCAUCCGAUAGAUUUUUGAGAGGGAAAGAAUUGCUCCCGUACAUGACAUGCACAAGGCAAUAUGUGACUCAUCUGACAUGAAUAUAAAUAUGUAUAGAUCAUGGUUGGUCUGAUGCUAAUAAGACUCAAACUCAUCCUAAGUUUAUACAAAUAAAUAUCCACAUCCAAUAUUUGAUAUUGAUAAUUUAGACGGUUCAACCCUCACGAGGGUCAGGCUCGCCUUGUAUUUAUUUGCGGCCCAUAUUAAUCGCUUGACAAAAUGACGUGUGCGUCUGCAUGCGCCACUGGGGAUACUUAUAUCCAUGGCUACAAUUCACAACGCAUCCACGACAUAUUCACCAGUACUCCACUUUACUGUUUUACCGUCCAGGCUGCGCAACUGCACAACCCUACGGUGUAUAUUUGCUCCCUCUAGAAGAUAAUGCCGGGCUAUGCAUAAUAUCUGCACAGUACUACGACGCUGUUGUAUUGUCGAUGACAAAUAGCUUGACGAAGAAAUUAUGUUGAUGAAGCGCGGCUCGACGGAAGGCGAAUGAUUAAUUUAGAGUUGCACCAGCGACGAUGAAGCAUACUCCUUGACGUUGACGAUUACUUUGCCUUCUCCUGAUUCCUCCCAAAUAUUUGUGUGGCUAUAAUAUUCACCAUCACCAGCACAGGCCUGCAUCUUGGCGCAGCGCCUGGCGGCGGCGUGUACGCGUGUGCGCCCCUCGCGAGGAGGGCGAUCAGGCCCUUUAUAUAGGCAGAGCAGCAGCAACGGCGCGGCCUCAUCCUCGCGAGUUUUCAGCGUCGUCGACGUGUUGUAGAUAAUCAAUCAACCACCUACUGUAGAUAAGGAAAUUAACAAAUCGCCUGCAUGCAGAAGCAAUCACGACAUUAAAUAGCUAAUGACAGUGGGCCCCAUGAAUAUAUCAUAUGUGUUUGUUUGCCAUGAUUUAUCUCCUCGGCACAGAUAAACCAUGCACAACCAUAGAGAUAAUCUUAAGAUUAGGAUAGCAAAUGACAGUGGGCCACACAUGUUGUUUGCCUUGGCUUAUCACUUCGUUAUUAGAGAUAAUGCCCAAAUCAAUCACAACAAACCAACCCAAGUACGUAUAAUGCUAGUACUAGCUGAUUUUUCCAUUUCACCAACUCAUAUCUCUUCAAUGGUUGAUUCGAGAAGCAACCCCUGAUUGCCGAGUUUCUUAUGACAAUCCAUCAUGACCAUCCAACCGGGGCUAAAUACGGAGGAGUACCCUCCCCAGGAAAGUAACUUAGGACUAUAUACACGCGCGGAGGAAUACCCGUACUGAGCUGUCACCAUCAACGGCCCACCUCGCUUCCGCAUCAUAUAACCCCAAAUAAUGAUAUCCAGUAAUCUAAACACCACGCUUAAAUUACCAAAUACUACUCUAAUAUCAUCGUCAUGACAUAGAGUCAUCGUAUGCACGUUCAUUAUACCCACACUAUUGCAUUUCCCAGUUUAGCUAGCAUCAUAAUCAAUAUAACUCGGAUAUAUAGUAAAGUUAGUAUUCAUAUACUCGUAAAGUAAUACAAUACCAGAGUAGUAUAAAGAAGAAUAUUCUAAUAAAAGUACUAAGUCUUACAAAGGAAGGAAAACUACUAGAGCUAUAUUCGAACUCUUCCGAAGACUCUGAGGAUUGAAGAUUCUAUUCUAUUUCUAUUCCACUGUACUCUAGAGACUAUACUAAACUUGAGAAAUGUAUGAAGCUUCUUGCUUGAGGUGUGUGGAAGAAGUGAGAAGGUGAAGGUCUUAUAUAGCUUUCCAAUGACGGUUGUGACGGUUGGAAUGGUCGGAUAUACCCUCUAACUGUCAUUGGGAGCUAAUCCACACCGUCCACGCCAAGCCCUGCAUCCAAUGGUGAUGUGGGGGGUUCGGUCGAACCCACUGGUUCAGCCGAACCAUGGGCCGGCCCAACCAGCCCACAUUUCGGCUAGUGGCCUCCUCGUGUUCUUCUCUUCCCAGACUUGUGAAUUUUAGCCCAAUUUGAGUAUGCCACUUCUGAGUUCUUGCCCCACCUUCCUCUAAGUCCGAUUCUCAACAGCGUCCGAUUGAUCGAUCGUUUAUUUUGCUGUCGAUUCUCCUCCAUUUAUGUUUAUUCUCUGCAAGAGGUUAGUAAUCCUGGCACUAGUGGAAUAUUUCUUAUUUUAACAUGAUAUGCAUUGCAAGUAUAACUAGUUUUUAUUUAUUAAGGUAAUAUUGAUGGGCGAAACUGAUCGAUAACGACCGUCAACAGUACCCAUACCUUGCAUCUGUACAUUUGAGAUAUACAGCAUAGUAGCAACUCCUGAUCAACAACCAAGUUUAGAUUUUUGUGAAGUCCUUUACUCGGGACAAGAAAAGGUUCAAGCUUGGGCGUUUUUGAUUAUGGUCGUUAUCGAUCAGUUGCGCCUGUCAAUGUUACCAAAAUAAAGGAGAACUAGUUGUGCUUGCAAAGCAUAUUUAUAUUAGAAUAAGUGAUAUUCCACUAGCACUAGGAUUCUAACAUCUUAAAUACAAAAUAGGGGAGAAUCGGCAGCAAAACGGACGAUCAAUCAAUCGGACGCUGUCGAGAAUCAGACUUGAAGACAAAUUGGAUGAGAACACCAAAUUUACAAGAACCAACAAGCCCAAAAUUCAGAAGUCUGCGGAGAGAAGCAAACAAGGAGGCCGCCUGCCAAAGUUUGGGCUGGUUGGGCCAGCCCAGGGUACGGCCGAACCCUGGGUUCGGCCGAACCAGCCGCAGCACUGAUGGAUCCAGGGUUUGGCUGGACGGUAGAGAUCAACUCCCAAUGACAGUUGGAGAGUAUUACCGACCUUUCCAACCGUCAUCACCAGCCUAUAAAAGGCCUUCACCUCUUCCAUUUCAACACACACCUCAAGCAAGAAGCUUCAUACAUUCUCUCAAGUUUAGUAUAGUCUCUAGAGUAUAGUGGAAUAGAAAUAGAAUAGAAUCUUCAGUCCUCAGAGUCUUCGGAAGAGUUCGGCUAUGCCUCUAGUAUCUUUUCCUUCUUUUGUAAGACUUGUACUAUUUAUAGAAUAUUCUUCUCAAUAUAUUUACGGUACUUUCCUUCAUUCUGAUUAUUCGAGUACCAACUUUAUGAAAUAUUAUUCGAGUUAUAAUUGUUUAGCUAACUUACUCGGGAGAUGCAAUGCUGUGGGUAUAAUGUUCAUUUAUAUGAUUACUCUAUGUCAUGAUGAUGAUGGUAGAGCAGUAUUUGGUAGCAUAAGCGAGGUGCUUAGGCUAUUGAAUAUCAUUAUUUAGAGUUAUAUGCUGCAGAUAUGUCGAGGUGGGCCGCUGAUGGUGACAACUCAGUACGAGUAUUCCUCCGCGCGUGUAUAUAAUCCUAAGUUAUUUUCCUAGGGAGGGUACUCCUCCAUAUUUAGCCCCGGUUGGAUGGCCAUGAUGGAUUGUCAUAAGGAACUCGACAACCAGGGUGGUUUCUCGAAACACCAGGAGGGCAUCGUAAGGGGGUAUUGGCUAUAUAAUUAUAUAGUAGAUAAUAUUGACUAAAGUGUAUGUAUGUAUAUUAAAAGUAUAGCAAAUGACUCUUUUCUUAUUCUUUCCACUUAGUCUAGAAUUAAUAUGUAUGAGAAAAGUGAAUGCUUCUGCUUAGUGUCACCCUACCCUUUUGGAUUAUAUUAACUCUUGUUUAGACUUUGAUUAUUACAAGUAACAUAUAAAUAUUAGCUUGGUUCUCUCCAUAAUAAUCUUUCCAAAGGAUUAAACAAAUACGAUACCCUUGGAAUACUCUCGGGUGAAAUGCUACAAUGGUAUAUCCGUGCGCUUGCGGAUGAAAUCUGUAACCGUAAUAUACUAAGAGUGUUUCUGCGUCAUUGCUGGAAAUUAUAUUUUUGAUAAUGUCGUUAAGAAUACCAACACGCGGUAUCCUACAAUUAAAACCGCGAAGUCAUGAUGUCACGUAACAAAAUUUACCUUUUUUAGCUACGGAGUACGUGUGUAACGACUUGUCUUUAAGAGCUGCUAUAGAUAAAAUUUGCCUUUUUUAGCUACGGAGUACGUGUGUAACGACUUGCUUUAAGAGCUGCUAUAGAUACAUAAUUAACUGACAGGUGUUGGCUGCCGGAAUUGUUAUAAAAAUCUGUCGAUAGAUUUUUAACAAAAUAAUCUGUCAAUUUUUAGACUACGGUUUAAGUUAAGAUUAGUGCUAGGGUGCUAGAAAAAUGCAACCGCGCGAGAGAGCUGGAGCCUGGAGGGAGGAAUCGAGCGCGUGGACAUCAUGCGCUGCUGUUCCAAGCUACUUACCAACUGAGCUAGCAGGUAUUGAUGGUUUUGUUGCAAAGAUAUAUUUAUAUUAAAAUUACCGCCGUUACACUAUAUUUACAAUGUAAAUACACUAUAAUUAAAAAUAAAACAUUUAUUUAUUAUGAUGUAAUUUUUUUAUCUGGAUUGUAACUUUUCUACUACUUGGUGUAAUUUCUGUUGUUGUUAAGCCCAGUAGUUAACUAGUGUGUUUUUUUCUUCCUUUUUGCUAGCGUCAGAUAAAGUUCCAUGGUAUUAGAGCAGGUACAAUAGUAGGCUAUUAGCCAGCUAUAAACAUAUUUUAAUAAGAUAAAAAAUAAGAGAUAAGAGAAGCGGACUACAGAUUUAUAGUCAGCUGCAGCACGGACUCUAAGAUGCAGUGUGUGUAUGAUAGGUGUGACCAUAUAUUAAUAGUAUAGUAAGCAGCUGUUAUAUUGUGUGAAUUGACUAUUAGAUUUAGCUAUAUAUAAAUUAAAGCUAGUAGUGAGCUAUCCUAUUAAACUUACUCUUAACACCCGUACUUGAAUUUGAUAGUUUUAAUCUGAGGCGUACGUAGCUAUUUGGUGGCUUGAAAAUCUGAGUGAUUUAGCAGCCAGCCAGUCACCCGUGCUUUGGAUCAGCGAACGGCAGCCACUCUUUCCACAUCCCCGGAUCAACCAAGCGCUGCCUUCCAAUGCCACCUGCGAUUUGGUUAUUUAUAGACGUAAUGGAUUACCACACAGGUCCUCAAGCCACUGCUGCAGCGUGACUCUGCUCUAGCACCUCACCAAGCAGAAAGCUAGAGAGCUAGCAAUGGCGCCCACCGUGAUGGCCUCGUCGGCCACCUCCGUUGCUCCCUUCCAGGGGCUCAAAUCCACCGCCGGGCUCCCCGUCAGCCGCCGCUCCAACAGCGCCGGCCUCGGCAGCGUCAGCAACGGUGGAAGGAUCAGCUGUAUGCAGGUAUGAACAAGCCAACAUAGGAUCAGUACAAGCUUAAUUGGUAUCUUCAUCCUCAUCACACACACAGGAAAUUAAAGAGAGCUCAUCAACUUUAACCCAUAUGAUUUCUCUGCGCAGGUGUGGCCGAUUGAAGGCAUCAAGAAGUUUGAGACCCUGUCGUACCUGCCACCGCUCACGGUCGAGGACCUCUUGAAGCAGAUCGAGUACCUGCUCCGGUCCAAAUGGGUGCCUUGCCUCGAGUUUAGUAAGGUCGGGUUCGUCUACCGUGAGAACCACAGGUCUCCUGGGUACUAUGAUGGCAGGUACUGGACCAUGUGGAAGCUGCCUAUGUUCGGAUGCACUGAUGCCACCCAGGUGCUCAAGGAGCUCGAGGAGGCCAAGAAGGCAUAUCCAGAUGCAUUUGUUCGCAUCAUCGGCUUCGACAACGUCAGGCAGGUGCAGUUGAUUAGCUUCAUCGCCUACAAGCCCCCGGGUUGCGAGGAGUCCGGCGGAAACUAAGCUAGUUGGCAAGCCAGCAAGCUCACUCGUGAGCUCUAUACAGAGGAGACUCGAUUGAUCUAUUCGGUUUUGGCAGCUUUGAACGUUCGAAUCGGGCCACCUUGCAUUGGUUUCCCCUUUCCCAGUUUGUUGCUUCAGUUUUUUUUUUUCAUCUUGUUUGUGUCAACAUCAGCUGUGUAUGUAUGUACAUAUGUAUGUAUCAACAUAGGUUGAAGAGCAUGCAUAUGUGAAUGCUAGCACCAGGCUAAUCAUAUGCACAUACACAUCGUAAUAAAUAUAUUGUACAAAUCGUCAAAAACGAUACUUAUAUGUAAUACUAUACUCAGACCAAACUUGAUACCUCUGGUUUCCAUUUCAAUUAUGUGUGGUAGGACAUGCAUAGCAUUGUUGGGAAUUACUUAAUUCGUUUCCAUGCAAACAGUUCAAAGAUACACGCGCGCAAAUACGGGCGCCCUCGUUCACAUAUGUAAAUUAUUAUGUAUACAUAUAACUCUAAUCAGAUAAAAUUCAAAAUGAACUGCGAGUCCAAGCUCGAUCAUCCUGAAAUUGCCUCCUCUUCUACGAUUCUAUACGUAGCACUCAUUUCUGAAUUGAAACUUUUGUGAGCUUUGGCUUUUGAUCCUCGGGUGUUCAUCUAUUGAUGCAUACAUUCAUUUGAACUAUAUUUAAGCCAAACUUAUCUAACGCAGUUGAAUUGUCGCCUUCUGUCAUUUCAAGGAAAUUUGUUGCUUUCUGAACCUUUGUGCUAAAGUUGGAAUUUUAGUCCAUUGUUUUGGCGUCCAAGAUUUUUUUUCCCACAUCAUGACAAUUUUUAAUUUAAGAAACACGUUAAAUAAUAAUUUUAUAAUAUAUCCUCAUAGAUCUAUUUGCAAACAUAUAGACCCCACAAACAAAUUAUUUCUGUACCAUUUGCAAUUCCAAAUUUGCCAACAUUAGCUAAUAGUAGUGUGUUGUUCUGAUUUAGUUCAAAAAUACCUGCUAACGAUAAUAAAAUUUAAAAGGGUAUUCCGUCGCAAACCUGAACUGUACCAAUUUUGAAUAAUGUACUCCCUCCGUUUCAGAAUGUAAGUCAUUCUAGUAUUUCUCAUAUUCAUAUUGAUGUUAAUAAAUCUAGAUAGAUAUAUAUGUCUAAGAUUUAUUAACAUCAAUAUGAAUGCGGAAAAUACUAGAAUGACUUACAUUGUGAAAUGGAGGAAGUACAUAAUAAAUGAUUAAUUAAUACUGAACAGAGAAACAAAAGUUGUCAUCAUCUUAAUAGUCCUUUCUCAGUGUCCAACUGUUCAGGAGAUAGGGUUAUGAUAAUACUAGACCACAUAUGUCCAGUUUCAAAGGAUAGGUUCAUAAACUAGACCACAAGUGUCCCAACUACAGGAUUAGAUAGGAAUCAACUUGUGAUGCCUAGAAGACGUACGUAAAUGACAAGGACGUAGGAAAACACACGGUUCAUUCCAUGUUUCUGGGUAGUGGACAUAUCAUAGAUACCAGCAUAGGAAGUCACGCAUUUGCACAACUAUAACCAUCCUAAUUAUACAUUAUAUAUAUGAAAAUAUACUAAUGAUAUUAGAUGAACGAAAAAUCUGUUUUCAUUACUGUCGAGAAGUAAUCCUCUCUAGCGGGUGGUCGUGAGACCCCUCUUUGUGAGUUCGGCCGGGGGAGAUGGCGCGAUGAUCAAGAGACUUCCACUUGAGAUCUAACUACUGGAUCGUUCACGAGUAUGCAUGGAAGACCAAGGAUUAUACAGGUUCGGGCUGCUGGGAAGCGUAACACCCUACCCUGAGAGCCCGAGGGGUGUGACGUGGCACCCCGAGCCCCCUCAGCCACCUCAGCGCUAUCCGAGGGGCGGGGGAAGGCGAGGCGCAUGGCUACGUGACUAAACGGGAAGGAUACUUCCCUUUACUGUGUGUACCCCCGGGCCUAUAUCACCGACAAUUAUAGUCACACUUUUGUGCAACCACAACCGCCAUCUAUAUUUAUAUUAUUUAGCUUGAUUUAUAUGUUGUAUAUGAUAACAAAUCACCCACCAUAAUAUAUUGGGAACUUUAAAUUCAUAUGAUAAUUUAAGUUUACAUAACUUUAUCAUUAUUUUUCACUGUCUUCACCGCUGCACCAGUCGCCGCCUUUUCACCACCUCCACUGUUACAUGACCCUUAUUCUCCCCUUAGUUUUCCAUUGGUGUCUGUUUUAUAGCUUAAGCACAUAGAUACAUUUCAUCCUGUAUAUUUCAACUAAUACAAUACAUUAAAUCAUAAGUUUGAAAGUCAUCCUCAAAACAGAGCAAUUUGAAUGGUAUUUCCAAACAUUGGUUCUGCUCUUUAAAUACCAAGCAAAUCAAACUGACUACUACCAGGCUAGAAUAAGCCAAUCAAAUUGGUGUCACAGGCUGUUUGCUAUGCUGAUCUUUUCAGCUUGUAUCCAAGCGUCAAACAGUUCUGAAUGACCCAAAAUCUGUUAUGCCAGUAGAAUAUUACUCAGUCUUCCAAGUUAAGAGUCAAACAAAACAGGGAAAUGAGAACAAAAUUUCAACUAUUGUACUUCUGUCCACCAUGUAUCCAAAAUUUCAACUAUCGUACAUUCCUUUUCUCGAACAACAAAUAUGUGCCGAUUGUAGCAAGUAUUGUUCAGCAUGACACUGAUGUUGUCUGAAGAUCUUGAUUCAUCUGAGAUAAAGAUCGAAGAAGUUCAGACUUAAAAACACCAGUACGUAAUAUACAAUAUAUCUCAGAUGAAUCGUACGCAAUGGCUAUUAAGACUUUGUCCAUGAUUCAGUCUUCAACCAAGACCAUUCCAUGUAUAUAUUUUCCAAUACCAGUUUCAGUUAUUAAAAUCCAUAGUUGUGGAAGAAACAUUUAAAUAUGCACAUUCCAACUACUCCCUCCGUUCCCUAAUAUAAGAGAUUUUGACAUUUUACUUGCACUGUUUGACCACUCGUCUUAUUUAAAAAAUGUGUGCAAAUAUCAAAAACGAAAAGUUGAGCUUAAAGUACUUUGGAUAAUAAAGUAAGUCACAAAUAAAAUAAAUAAUAAUUCCAAAAUUUUUUGAAUAGGACGAGCGGUCAAAUAGUGUAAGCAAAAUAUCAAAAUCCCUUAUAUUAGGGGACAGAGGGAGUAUUUAGAAGAGGAGGUGUAUUCGCACUCAUAAAUUAUUGAUGUUAAUGGGCUAACGACAGAUCAUUUUAAUCAAGAUUUCAAAUUCAGAAACGGGCAGUACUACCAUAAGUUUGAGGAAAUUGUUCAUUAGAAGGAUUGAUCACCUUACGGCAUUGCAUGCUACCUUACAGCAUUGCAUGCUAUUCGCUGCAGUCAUGUAGCAAUUCACCAACACCGCCAUCAUCUUCACAGUUGCAUGGGAGAGGUGGGGGGCAUGUCUUGGGCAGCCAGAAAACAUCUGUGAGAAGCAGUAAUCCUUGGGCCUCUACUAUAGCUAUCAAGAAAGUGCAGAAGCAAUGAACAUGCUAUGCAUGGCCUGCCAUACGUUCCUGAUAUCAGUUUUAAAUUCCUUGGUAGAUUGUACUUGAUACAUACUCUUAGUUUCCUUGGGCUAAUGAGGCAAUCUGAUGACUCAUUGUAGACAGUAAGCUAAUGUGAUUACAAAUAUACUGGUCAAGUGGUCAUUAUGAAAAAAGUUCAUACUAAAAAAUCAAAUCAUGGUCAACGUUUAUAUUAGUCAACCUGCAUGUAGUAUCUUCUACUUCGUCCCUUUCAGUUACAAGACAUUUUGACUUUAGUCAAAGUCAAACUGUUUCAAGUUUAACUAAAUUUAUAGAUAAAUAUAGUAAUAUUUAUAAUACUAAAUUAGUUUAAUCAAAUCAAUUAUUGAAUAUGUAUUUUCAUAAUUAAUUUGUUUUGGGUUAAAUAUGUUACUACUUUUUUCUAUAAACUUAAUCAAAAUUAAAGCAGUUUGAUUUUGACCAAAGUCAAAACGUCUUAUAACCUGAAACAGAGGGAGUACUAAAUACCUCGAUUUAACAGUUCUACCUUUUUUGUAAGAAUAAUAUGACUAAUUAUUAUACUUGUUGUCACAUUUGCCAUUUGAACUUUUGUUAAACAUAUCAAAUGCCUAGGAAUGCAUCUCAGUAUAUCAAAUUAGGUACAUAUACAUGUAUUGAUAUGAUUUUUACUCAAUGACAACUGUCCAGACAUUAUGUUUCUUAAUAAGUAAAUAAGAAUCUGGUACCAAUUUCAUUAAUUUACUUGGCAAAUUAUGUAGUAGCUUACAGUAACUGUUUGUCACAACAUCUUCAUCAGCACUGUAAAUUUUUCUAUGUAAAAUCCAUCUAAUGGAGCAACUUUUUUGAUUGAUUAUCGCAAAAUGUUAAGAGCCAUCAUCAGAACAUAUGCAGUAUAAUAUCCCUAUUUAAAUAGAUUCUUGUGUCAAUUUUGACAGUUUACCUUUGAAUCAAGCUGUAGCGUUGAUGUGCUGUAUAAUCGCACAUCACUGAAAACGUGGUAGACAUUAACAGCCGCUGGUUGUGGAGAGGAGCAAGAGGAAGGGGUCGUCGUUGCCGUGGCUGUCGGUUGAAAUGCUGUGCAGUGACCAGAUUUAGUUCUCCCAGACCUCUGAAUGGCGGGAUCCAGAGGUGCACGCCGACGGGGAUGACGUCGGGGGGUGCACGAGAAGGAUAGCUUGUUCCACCCCUAACCAUCCAUUUGGGGGGAGGGGGGGGGAUAGGAAAAAAGUGGGGGAAGUAGAGACGCAGCGACACCGGAGAAAGAGGAGGCGACACUAGCUAGGGAGGAGGACGCGAUGACAGGGGAUGUGGAGGAAGCGGCGGUGUGGGUGUGGAGGAGGUGGUGAAGGCACGGUGAGCGCGCGCGGAGCAAGAGCGGCGUCUCAGCCUCCUGGCUUCUCCAUUUAAUUCGGAGAAAAAGAGGUAUUUUUGUUCAUGGAACAUUGAUAGAGAAAAAAGCCGACUAUUGGAUUUGAACCGAUGACCCUCGCAUUACAAAUGCGAUGCUCUAACCUCUGAGCUAAGUGGGCUUACAUAACAGAAAUAGUGUAACAAAUAGAAAUAUGUAUAGUAUAGGAAAUCCGUAAAAUGUCAUAUCUUAAUUAUUAAUCUUAGCUAUUAACUAGUUCGAAAUUGGAAGUUCUACUUAGAAAACAAUACUAGAACUUCAUAAAAUAAAGUUAGAUAGAUUUUUUUGAACUUUCUUUUUUCUCUAAUUCGCAAAUCUAUUUUUCUAAUAGAAUCUAUUCCAAUUUCUAUAUUGAAUUUGAUUUUAGAUAUUUUUAAUUUGAUAUGGCUCGGACGAAUAAUCUAAUACAUGGAAAAGAAUAAAUAAUAUAUAUACGAAAACAUAAUAAAGAGAACAUGCGAAUUUCUUGUAUUUUCAGUCCAUCAUUAUAGACAUUUUUUGAGAUAUUUUGUUUUUUUUGUUAUUUGCUAAUAAUUUAAUGAUUAAUAUUUCACUAAGGAGAACAUAGAAUCAUAGCAAAUGAAAUUGCUAAUUCUGAUUAGCAAAAAAAAAGAAUGAAUAUCAAGCGUUAUAGUAUGAUUUUGAAUACUCUAAAAAAGGAACGCGGUAGGUGGGGGAGAGAAAAACCUUGGGAUAUAUUGAUUCGCAUUGAAUUGCAAAUACAUCAACGAUAGAAUCAAUUCAAUGCUGAAUUGCAAUAAGCGGAGUCUCACAACUAGAGACGAACCGCUAGACUACAUAGAGUAAUGAAUCCAACGAUUCAAAAAAAACUAACAGAUGGAGGAAAUUGCACAAGAAAUCCUGGUCUCAAAGAAAAAGAAAAUGGGGAUAUGGCGAAAUCGGUAGACGCUACGGACUUGAUUGUAUUGAGCCUUGGUAUGGAAACCUGCUAAGUGGCAAUUUCCAAAUUCAGAGAAACCCUGGAAUUAAAAAAGGGGCAAUCCUGAGCCAAUCCAUGUUUUGAGAAAACAAGUGGUUCUCGAACUAGAACCCAAAGGAAAAGGAUAGGUGCAGAGACUCAAUGGAAGCUGUUCUAACGAAUCGAGUUAAUUACGUUGUGUUGCUAGCGGAACUCCCUUCUAAAUUAGGGAAAGAAGGGCUUUCGAAAUCUAAUACACACGUAUAGAUACUGGCAUAGCAAAUGAUUAAUCACAGAACUCAUAUCAUAAUAUAGGUUCUUUAAUUCUUUUUUAAAAUGAAAAUAGGAAUGAUUAUGAAAUAGAAAAUUCAUAAUUUUUUUAGAAUUGUUGUGAAUCCAUUCCAAUCGAAUAUUGAGUAAUCAAAUCCUUCAAUUCAUAGUUUUCGAAAUCUUUUUAAAAGUGGAUUAAUCGGACGAGGAUAAAGAGAGAGUCCCAUUCUACAUGUCAAUACUGACAACAAUGAAAUUUCUAGUAAAAGGAAAAUCCGUCGACUUUCUAAGUCGUGAGGGUUCAAGUCCCUCUAUCCCCAAACCCUCUUUUAUUCCCUAACUCUAGUAUUUAUCCUGUUUUUUUUAUUAAUAGGUUUAAGAUUCAAUGGAAUACAUUUCUUUUUUAUUAUAGUAUCGGCAAGGAAUGUCGAUUAUUAACUCGAUAUUUAAAUAUUAUUAAAUAGGCUUUCUUUGUACAAUGCAUAGGACUGACCCCUCCCCAUUUCCAAAUUUUGGAUAUUGACAUAGAUACAAAUACUCUACUAGGAUGAUGCACAAGAAAAGGUCAGGAUAGCUCAGUUGGUAGAGCAGAGGACUGAAAAUCCUCGUGUCACCAGUUCAAAUCUGGUUCCUGGCACAGAAAAAAGGGAUCUUCCGAAUAGGUAUUGAUACAAAUACCUCGAGAUGGGUUGGGAUACAUAUUCGUUAAUAAUAUAGAUAGAGUAUGAUUUUUUCAUCUAAGUAGAUAAAUCUCUAAAUAGAGGCACUUCUUUUUCUGCAUUUUUGCAUUUCUUAAUUUUCUAUUCCGCUAUUCCGACAAAUAUUUUUUUAUUCUUGCUUAUCUUAUCUUACUUUCCUAGUUGUUCUAAGUGAUGCACGUGGUACAAAGUUCGUGGUAGGGAACUUCUUUGAGUCAUCAUAUUUUUCUGUUCAUACGAAGGAAAUGAAUAUGUGAUUUUCCAACGAAAUGAAGCCCUUUUUUGCUUAGUCUAUCUGAACCUUUUGUAUAAUUGGAAUUAAUUAGAAUGUAAUAGGUAUUCUGUUUCAUCUAGGAACAGAGCGUAAAAAUAUUCCUUGACUUGCAUAAAAUCUGGAGUUGUGUUGUAUAAGUGAGCAUGAAUUUCUUAUCAUUCAAUGAGCAUCUUGUAUUUCAUAGAAAUUGGGGGUUAUAUAGUCCUUACGUAAGGGCCAGCCUAUCCAACUUUCAGGCAUUAGGAUACGUUUAAGGCGUGGAUGAUUAUCAUAAGAGAUUCCCACCAUAUCAAAAGAUUCGCGUUCUUGAAAAUCGGAACUUCUCCAAAUCCAGAAGACAGAUGGGAUUCUAGGAUUAUCCUUUUGGGCAAAGACUUUUAUGCAUACUUCUUCUGGGUUAUCUAUACCAUACUGUAUUCUCGUAAGAUGAUACACGCUAGCUAAAGAUCCACCGGGUGCAACGUCAUAAGCACAUUGGGAACGUAAAUAAUUGUAACCAUAUACAUAUAAAAUGACAGCAAUGGAAUCCCAAUCCUCUGCUUUUAUUUGCAAAGUCUCUAUUCCUCGAUGAUCGAAGCCCAAAGAUCUAUGAACCACCUCAUGUUUGACUAGCCAAUUAGAUAACCAACCCUGCUGCAUUAUCUUGAUCUCUCCUCCUUUGUAUAAAUAUUUCGCAGUUCGAAUGCAAGUUUGAAAUAUUGCCCUGCUCUUUCUUUUUCGGCACAAAGAGCUCCUCCUAAUUCACUAAUUUGUAGGAAGAUACUGGACUUUUGGAUUUGAAAAAAGUUUCAGAAGAUAUGUCUAAAGUAGAUGGUGAUUGAUAGAGCAAUUCUUGCUCAUAAGUUCCAGUAUUAGUACUGCGCCGAACAUAAAGCUUGUGGCUGGUAGUAAAACAUCGAUUUUUCUUUUGAGAUAGAGUUCGAUCCUCAACUAUUUCUCGCGAUAUCUUCUUACGAAGUUUUGUUAGGGCAUCUAUAACAGCCUCUGGUUUAGGUGGGCAACUCGGCAAGUAGACGUCCACAGGAAUUAACUUAUCAACUCCCCGAACAGUACUAUAGGAAUCCGUACUGAACAUUCCACCAGUAAUAGUACAAGCUCCCAUAGCAAUGACGUAUUUUGGUUCAGGCAUUUGCUCAUAUAAUCUCACUAAAGAGGGAGCCAUUUUCAUUGUUACUGUACCGGCUGUUAAAAUUAGGUCCGCUUGCCUAGGACUUGAUCUUGGUACCAAUCCAUAACGAUCAAAGUCGAAUCGUGAGCCUAUUAAUGAAGCAAAUUCAAUGAAACAACAACUGGUACCAUAUAGAAGGGGCCAUAAACUAGAGAGUCUUGACCAAUUUGAAAGAUCUUUUAGUGUAGUUGAAAUAACGGAAUUGGAACUUGUUUGGUCAAGUAGGGGAAACUCAAUCAAACUCAUAACUGUCUUAAUGGAAUCUUUUCCUUCUUUUUUUUGUCUGAAUAUUCAGUUAAGACCAUUCCAAGGCUCCUUUUCGCCAUGCAUAAACUAAACCAACAACUAGGAUAAGCACGAAAAUGAAAGCUUCGAUAAAAACGGAUAUACCCAAUACGUCGAAACUCAUUGCCCAAGGGUAGAGAAAGACCGUUUCCACAUCAAAAACAACAAAAACUAGCGCAAACAUGUAAUAGCGUAUUCGGAAUUGUAACCAAGCCCCCCCCAUGGGUUCUAUACCCGAUUCAUAACUAGAAAGCUUCUCUGGUCCUUCACGAACCGGAGCUAAAAGUGCUGAAAUCCAAAAUGCUAAAAUAGGAAUAAGGCUUGCUAUUAUUAGAAAUGCCCAAAAAAUAUCAUAUUCGUGAAGCAGAAACAUAAAUGUACUCCCAUUAAUGUGGAAUAGGCGGAACUGAAUUAGUCAAUUCAAGUCAGCAUUGUCAAUUUAUACAGAAUUUCUCUCUUUUCCUCGGUGAAACAAGGAUCGGUUUUUCUCAAACCAAAGGGCUUAGUUUAGCCUUUGUUUCCUCUUUGCCACGUCUUCUUUAAAGAUUCAUCCAAUGGAAUCCCGACUCCCUUUCUUUUUUAUUUCCUUUCUAUUUAGGUAUGGUGGAGACAUAAUUCUUAUAGAAACAAAACUCUCUCGCUUCACGUUGUCUCAUUUUCUCUAGAAUCUCUAGAAAAAGGAAUAAAAACGAAAAUACUACGAAUUAGAGCCUAAUUAAGAUAGGAUGACUAAUGUAUGCAGCCUAAUGAGGAGUAAUUCUAUAAAAAUAAAGAACUCUAUUUCAGAACGUAGAUUGAUUUAGAUUUAGGUAAUCUAUAGAUAUAGAUAAGCAAAGUAAUAUACUUCAAACAAAGUAGGAAUUUGCAAGAUGGAGAACAUCUUGCAGUUGAUUUGAUAGAAAUUCAUUUUUCUUUUCCUGUCUCUAUAAUUUUCGAUGAAUGAGCCUCUGGUAAUCCUUUUCUCUCUAUUUUAUGGCGCAGGCGCCUGUCCAGUCUAUAAACAAGUACUAAUAGGGAAAUGAAAACUAUACUAAAGGAAACGUAGGAUAUCUCUCCUAAAAUCUAAAAAAGGACAUAUUAGGGCUAUACGGAUUCGAACCGUAGACCUUCUCGGUAAAACAGAUCAAACGGAUUAUUAUCGAAAUGAUUCGAACUGUUUCAAAGACCCAACAUGCAUUUUUUUGCAUUGGGCUCUUUUAUCAACUGAUAGAAAGAUCAGUUAGUCCACCAUAGUUUUUCUUUACGGAAAGAUAAUGAGAUGGCUCCCUGCGCUCUGAUUGAUUAUUUGUAUUAUGAUCUAUCUAAGAGCAAUACCAAAGUGUUUCAAAGGAGGAUUACCUUGACUUAGGUCUGCCUCCGGCCUAAAUUAAAUCAACCUAAGUGAAAUAGAGUCUCUAUCGUUCCGCUACAAGAGUUGACUAUGAGACUUCAUACACCUUAAAGUUCAUAGAACGAAAAGAAUUUUUUUGGAGGCCCUUAUCCUCAUUAAGCCUAGCAUUUAGUGGGCUGGAUAUUUACCUUAUCAACUAGCAAAUCAAUAAAGGUUCUAUUUGUUUAGGCACCUGGAUUGGUACCUGAAUCGGACUGAACCAACUAUUUGUCAGGCGACUGUUCUCCUAUUCUCUCGAAUCCAUGAAGUAAGACAUUGAUUUUGCAAGAAGAUCCACUAUGUUCAUUGCAUAAUAAGCUCCCAUGAAAAGCAUUGGCGCACGUGUAAACGAGUUGCUCUACCGAACUGAGCUAUAGCCCUUGUCAGAGAUAUCUUAAUAUAUAGAGAAUUUCUUGUCAAGAUGAAUAUUCUCUAAUAGUAGAGGAUAUCCUUUGAUCUGUUUACUAUAAUAACAUACCAAUAACUAAGCGGUAUUUGCUUAUAAAAAGGAUUCGAUCUAUAAUCAAUCGAAGUAAAGGGUCUUCCUUUGUGGUGAUAAAUUGCCUACUUAACUCAGUGGUUAGAGUAUUGCUUUCAUAUGGCGGGAGUCAUUGGUUCAAAUCCAAUAGUAGGUAGGUAGAUAGAAAAAUUACUAGAUAGCAUUGGCCCUACUUCGCUUCGCUAUCUAAUAAUUUUUUCUACCCCUCUUCCCUUUUUCUUUGUAUCAACUAAACCGUUGGGUUGUCUUCAAUUAGAUGGGGGAAUCCAAUUAACAGCCUCGACUCGUAUCCUAGCUCGUCUGAGAGCUACCUUCGCUUCAACCAAUUCUUUCGUACCCUCAGCUCUACUCACGUUAGCUUCGGCUAUUUCAAGUGCCUGUUGAGCUUCUUCCGGAUCAAUGUCACUACCCAGUUCCGCAUCAUUUCCUAAAAUGAUGAUCUCAUUAUUAACUAUUCUGGCAAAACUGCUCCACAGAACCGCCGUUAACCAUUUAUCGUUGAGGAGGCGUAUUCUCAAGGGACCCAUAUCUACAGCUGUGUUAAUGGGGGCGUGGUUUGGUAAUACGCCAAUUUGGCCACUAUUAGUAGAUAAAAUGAUUUCUUUCACUUCACAAUUCCAAAUAAUUCGCUUAGGAGUCAGUACAUAAAGAUUUAAUUUCAUUUCUUCAAUUUGUUCUCCUCUUCUAAGUUUAUAGCUUUCGUGCUAGCUUCAUCGAUGUUACCCACCAAAUAAAAAGCCUGUUCGGGUAGGCCGUCUAAUUCUCCGGAAAGGAUUAGUUGAAAUCCCCUAAUAGUUUCUGCAAGACCAACAUACUUUCCCGGAGAACCGGUAAAAACUUCUGCCACAAAAAACGGUUGUGAUAAGAAGCGCUCAAUUUUUCGUGCUCUUGCUACAGUUAAACGAUCCUCCUCCGAUAAUUCAUCCAACCCAAGAAUUGCGAUAAUGUCCUGAAGUUCUUUGUCAAUGGCUCUAAGUAAGAAAAGCUUUAUCAGAUUCUAUUUUCCGAAGUUGCACCUACAACUAUUCAUUGAAAAGAAUCCUACUCUUAUGGGUAAAUGCUCAAUAUCCAAGUGGGCUUACAAAUUUGAUCAUGAUCAAUUGCUUUGUGGAUUGUCUCGCGUCUCUUGAUUAGUUGGUAUUUAUCCCCCCCAAUAUUGCAAGUUUCUUACGUCCAAACAAAGUAUUUACUUGUUACUAAUAAAAAAUCAAAAAGUUUAGACUACGUUCUUCCUUAGAUCCCUUCUUUUACUCCGAUAGUAUUGCAUAUCGCAAUCGAUGCAAAGAAAAUGAAUGCAUUUCCAUACUAUAAUAAAAAGUAAGUGUAAUAAAUAGAGAAUUGGAUCAUGUCACAUGACUUAUUCCACUCCUGCCAUCUCGGAGUCCAGGGAAGCGCACAGAUAGAGCAAGGAAGAGAAGGGGGGAAAAAUGAAAAGAAAAAUAUGGGAUGUGGAAGGAUCCCAUUGUGAAAAGAUGUUUUCGGAAGGAUCGCGGGGAGGUUUCACCGUUUGAGAGAUCCAACAGCUCGCAUUGUCUGGUGUAGAAAUCAGACGGCCCAUAAUUUCUUGAAGACGUGGGUUUAUUGAGUUUUACUUUUCACUUAGUUAGAUAGGCAUUCAUUAGCUAGCCACUCUUAGCACCUAAGAGCAGUCCUACUAUUAGCCAGCUAUAGAUAUAUUUUAACGAGCUAAAAGAUGAGAGAGAAGAAUAGUGGGUUACAGAUCUGUAGCCAGCUGCAGCACGGACUCCAAGACGCAGUGUGUGUAUGACAGGUGGGACCAUAUAUCAAUAGUAUAGUAAGCAACUAUUGUAUGAAUUGGCUAUUAGAUUGGCUAUAGAUGAAUUAGAGCUAGUAGUUGGUUAUACUAUUAAAUUUGCUCUAAGAGGCAUCAUGUCUGAGGUUUUGUUUGAAAUUCAGGAUAUGGAAAACGUAGGAACAUUAAAAACAUAACAUAGGAAAUAAUAGGAAUAUGAUAGGAUUGUAGGUUUAAAACGGAGUGAUUAUAAAGCAUAGGAAAACUGAGCAAACUAUUGUUCGGAAGCGCAAAGAAAAACUCAGAAAUCUUAUUCACUAAUAGAAGUAACUCGAUAACAUAUUAUCAAAUUGUACUUAGAUGGUACAAGCAACUGAUGUGUGGGCCAAGGAACAGUAAACCAUCGUUACAAAGGCCAAUUGAGUUGAUUUAUUUCUCCCUUUGCAUCGGUCCUAUAUAUGGAAAGCCAGCAAAAAAAAAAAAGAGGGACUCUCGACAUGACAAACGGCUCAAAAUUUUUUGGGUUUCAGCCGUUUUUUCUCACCGUGCGAUAAAUACACGCGUCACCCAUCCCCUCCCGCACAAAAAUCCCACCCGAGUAGCUGGUAGUGCGCUUUGCACAAACGGCACAACAAAAUCCCGCUUGUGUUUGUUUUGUCCGUGUGGGUUUAGUCCACAAAAGAAAAAGGCCCAUGACGUUUUAUCUUUGUAGAAAGCCCACAUCCCGCAAGGAGAAAAAAACCAAGGACUAUUUUUAUCCGUGUAAACAAGCCCAGAAAAAGAAGCACACAUCGUGCAACUCUUAUUUUUUAGGAACCCACAUCCUGGACUUCUUUUUUAGAGACACACAACCUGCACUUUUCUGUGCUGCUCCAGUACGUCUUGCUGCAUGAACCAUGCUGGUUUGGUUUUGUUAGUGAUAUGCUCUAGAGGCAAUCAUAAAGAUAAUUAUAUCACAUAAUAUGUUUAUAUAUUUAUCCGACAUUGUUCUUUAAAAUAGAUAACACAUUAUUGGUUAAUGAAUAUGUGAUUCUUUCAUGAGACUUUUUAUGUUGUAUGUUACUAUUUCUGAAGGAUCCCUGAUCAAAUAUCAUAUGUGGAACAAAUAUGUUUAAAUGAUCAGCACAUGUAUUAAUUGAUGAUUAUGUUUCAUGGAUCAUGGUAUAGAGAUACCAAAUUAAUAAUGUGGACACAUGUUGGGGAACAUGUUGUUGGAUAGACCCAACAUGAUACAUUGCAAGAGCCAUAUGUGUUGUGUUAUCAGUGAUCUCAUUUAGUGUUGGUGUUGAAUCCUUAGACCUGAGAUUAUCAUGGUUCCCAACAUAUGUAGUAUCUUACUUAGGGACUGCUAAACGCUACUCCGUAAUUGGGUAGUUAUAAAAAUAGUUUUCGGGUAUGCUAUGAAACAUAUAGUUAGAUAUGUAUAAUCAAGAUGGGAUUUGCUCCUUCUAUGGAGAGAUAUCUCUGGGCCCCUCGAUGUUAUAGAUUAUGAAAGUGCAUGGCCAUACCAAAGGUCAUUGAGGAGUCAAUCACAAGUUAUAUAUAUAAUAUAUCACAUGUUCGAGUGAAUGAUUGAGCUAUUAGAGGAUGUCAUAUAUCUAGCCUUGAGCUUAAUCGAUAUCAUGAGGCAAAGGUGUUCAUACAUGUAUACACUAGAUAUUCAGCCGAUAUGAUCUUUAUGUAUGCCCGGUGGGUCAAUACAUUCUGCUAGGGGCCACCGUUGACACGUGGACCGAAAAGGAGUUUUCGGGUUACAGCUGAGUGUACAUGAACCUACAGGAUUGCACGCUUAUUGGGCCGGAAUAAGGGGAUUAGAUGGAGAUCCAAUAUGAGCUUAAUUCGAAUAGGGAUCCGAGUUGGAGUCCUACGGACCUUCACGGAUCCUAUAUAUUUGUGAGGGGUAUGACCGGCGGAGGUAUUGCAUCACGUGAGAAAGCCUAGCCGCCACUCCCCUCCACGAGCAAAAAACCCUAGCCGCACGCGGGUGCUAGCACAUCUGCGCGUGGCGUUCCGUCCCUGUACGUGUGGAUACUGGUAGAGACGCCGCUGCUUUGCGGUGCUGAUCAGCGUGGGAGCACGGCGAGGAGAACGCACGAGGAGGAGAAGGUCGAGCCGGUGUGAUCGACUACUUCCUCUACAUCGACGCGCGCUACAUCGCGAGGGUUCCUUCGCCUUCUUAGCGCUUUCUUCCACUGCGCAGCGCGUCGAGUGGUAACGAUCUAUGAUCUAAUACUUGCAUGGUUCCUGAUUUACGCAGUAAUUUAUACUAUCGUAGCCUACGCGUGUCUCAACAGGUUUCACAUUUUUUUUUCAAGAAGUGUUCCUGCCAAACAAAAUAAAAAGGUUAUAUUAGGACGACAUGAUUGCAUACAAAUAUGGGGAGCAAAAUACUAGGUUCAGAAAACUGUCAGAGUUAAUUCUGAACUGUUAAAUAUGUUGAAAACUACGUUAACCCCAAAGAUGCAAUAUGGCGUGAUGCAUCAUUCAUGCUGAGAUGCAACAAACAUGUAUUGACGUUGUGUUGCUAUUGGAAAAUUACUAUUCUUGGCCUAGUUCUUUUUCCAAACUUCAAACUUCAACUUCCUCGUUUUUCAUUAGCACGUUUUUCAAACUAUUAUUAAAUGGUGUGUUUUUAAUAAAAAAGUUUCUAAGUAGAAGUUGUUUAAAAAAUUCCAAUGAAUCUAUUUUCUAAUUUUAUACUUCAAUAAUUAAUACUUAAUUAAUCAUGUACUAAUGAGCUUUCUCGCUAAAAAUCUCUCUCAACUCACCUAUCGAACGGGGCCAGUAGAACAAAUAAAGAGCAUCAGAUAAAGUAGCCCAUAGUCUCGCGCACCUUGCGCUUAGAUCGAAGGAGUCUGUAGUUUGGCGUCUUCAGGCGCCGGAGUGUGUUCAUAAUCUUUUAGCCCUCGAUUGUAACCCUAUGAUUGAUGAGUAAUAAAGCUUCAUGUUUCCCUCGCAAAAAAAAAAAAGAACAUCAGACAAUGUGUAGCAAGGAAAAUUGUGUAGUUGUUAUGACUCAAACUAAAAAUAGGUGCUAUGCAUGCACAGUUAUAGUCAAAUUUGUGGGCACAAAUUUUAAUUGCUACAUCAAGGAAAUUUGCAUUCGCAACUAUAGCAAAUUUGCAAGCACAGCUAGAAAUCUAUACCUAUAGUAUAAUUGGGAACUUCAUAGGAGCUCCCACGUUAACCAGUAAAAUCAGAUCGUUAAUUUGAUACAUCAUAUAAUCCUAACCAUUGAUUAUAAACUCUAAUCUACAUUAGCAUGAUGGGCCUGAUGUAAAGCCCAUCCAAUCAACCGCUUUAAUUAUAGUGAUGGGCGUGCGUUCCACUCCAGUCUUGCACCUAAUCUUCGUUUUCUUCCACAACCUUAUGUCAAUCAAGAGAUCAAUCAAUCCACUGCUCCUACUCUUCCUCUCAGAGUUCAAUCCAUGGUGUUUUUUUUUCCCUGGUCAUCAAUGAUUUGCAAAUAGUGAUAAUCAUUUACUCAAUUUUGAUGCAUCUUCACGUAGCCAAAUCAAAUAGCCGAUGAAUCAAAUUUAAAACAGAUCUAUGUAGGCCAUGCCCUAGCUAAUCUAGAGCAGGAAGUUUCAUGUAAAUCUCACACCUCCUUGCAAUACAUAGACAAUUGAUCUUCUGAUUUUAUCUGACAAUAGAUUAAAUAUUUCUUCUUUCCAGGUGAUUGCUAGAUAUUAUAAUUGAAUAUACCAUACCAGACAUGUUCUCUUACAGUUUUUGCCAGUACUUGUUUUCUUUAAUAAAGAACAUUUGUUGCAUGCCUUAAUACAAUUAUAAAUAAUAUUCAUUGGUUCAACAUGGUCCAGGAUAAUGUUCUGCUUAUAAUAUUGGUACCUUGGAAAAUUUGAUCUUCAAAACAAAAUGUAUACAAUAAUUUACUUCCCAAGCUACGGUAAAUAGCUUAAAUUCAUCAGUCAAUAUUAAAUUCCAUAUUUUACUUUUUUUUAAGGUGAUUGCUAUAUGUUUCUGCAGGGCACCAUAAUACAUUUGUUGACGGUUGUUAGCGAUCAGUUUCAAUCGUCAAUAUUACCAAAAUAGAGAAGAACUAGUUAUACUUGCAAUGCAUAUCCAUGUUAGUAUAAUAAUAUUCCACUAGUAUUAGAUUCACUAGCCUUUUAUAGAGAAUAACCAUUAAGUGGAGGAGAAUCGAUAUCAAAUCAGAUGAUAUAUCAAUCGGACGAUGUCGAGAAUCAAACUUAUGUAUGAAUGGGCCAAGAACUCAGAAAUGACACAACCAAUUGGGCCAAAAUUCACAAGUCUGCAGAGAAGAGAAGUCUAAGAGGCCACCAGCCAACUUGUGGGCUAGUUAGGCCAGCCCAGGGUUCGGCCGAACCAAUGCCAGCACCGAUGGAUGCAUGGUUUUGAGGGAACAGUGGAGAUUCACUCCCUAUGGCGGUUAGAGGGUAUUACCGACUAUUCCAACCGCCAUAACCGUCAUUAUAUCUACCUAUUUAAAGAGCUCCUCUUUCAUUUCACUCAUACACCUCAAGCAAAGCUCUCUCAUAUUCUCUCGAGUUUAGUUUAGUGUUCUUAAGCUAGUGGAAUAGGAAUAGAGUAGAAAUCGGAGUCCAGAAGCCUUCGGAAGAGUUCGGAUAUGGCUCUAGUAGCUCUUCUCUUCUCUUUUGUAAGCUUUGUACUAUUAUUAGAAUACUCUUCUUUAUACAUUUAUGGUAUUAAAAUACUUUCCGAGUAUAUGAAUGCCAACUUUAUAUUAUGUUUAUGUUGUACUGAUUAUACUGCUAGCUUAUCUGGGAGAUGCCUUGGUGCGGGUAUAAUGUUUUUAUAUGCAAUUACUCCAUGUCAUGACGAUGAUAUUAGAGUAGUAUCUGGUAGUUUUGGCGUGGUGUCUAGAUUACGGGAUAUCAUUAUUUGGGGUUAUAUGCUGCGGAUGAGAGGUGGGCCGCUGAUGGUGACAGCUCAGUACAGGUAUUCCUCUACACGUAUAUAUAGUCCUAAGUUAAUUUUCUGGGGAGGGUACUCCUCCGUAUUUAGCUUCGGUUGUAUGGUCAUGACGGACUGUCGUAAGGAACUUGGCAAUCAGGGGUGGCUUCUCGAAGCACUAGGAGGGUAUCGGAUAGAGGGUAUUAGCUAGUAUAUCAGAUAACUAGGAUAUAUGUAUACUAUGUAUACUAGAAGUAUAGGAAUAGAUUCUCGUUCUCUUUUCUUUCCACUUUGCUUAGAUAUUUUAGUAUGAGAAUGAGUAGCUCCAUGCUGUUGUGUCACUCUGCUUAGACUAUGAUUAUAUUAACCCCUGCUUAGACUAUGAUUAUUACAAGUAACAUAUAAAUUAUUAGUCAGGUUCUCUCUACCAUGAUCUUUCCACGGGAUUAAAUAAAUACGAUACCCUUGGAAUACUCUCGGGUAAAAUGCUACAAUGGUAUAUCCGUGCGCUUGCGGAUGAACUCUAUAACCAUAAUAUACUAGGAGGAUUUCUGCACCAUUGCUGGGAAUUAUAUUUCUGGCAAUGUCGUUAAGAAAUAUCAACAAGCAUUUCUGGCGCCGUUGCCGGGGACGAUUCAUAAUAGAGAUUACCAGAACUAAUACUGUAACAGCCCUAGGUCAAUUACCAGGUAAUUAGAAAUGCAAUUAUCAUCACUUAGGUUGCAUCUUUACUUUAUUGCAAGUAAUUACAUGUGAUAGCAAUUUAAACUUUAACCGGCAAAACCAAAGCAACUUCUAAAUGAAAAAUAACUUGAACAGAAGUAUAUGUGUUUAAUAUUUUAUUCAAAUAUUAGUUUAUUUAUCAUCACUAAAUAUAAAUUUUGUGGAAUUUUUACUCUCUGUUUAGGCCUCCUAAAAAUUCAAACCAACUUUCAGCCUAACCAAUUUCAUCUUUUCACCAGAUUUAAAACACUUGGAAUUUAUGUGUGAAACUUUGAAAAAUGGAACCUAGAAACCUACACCUAUCACCACACCAAAUUUCUACAUUUUUGAACUUGUUUUACCUAGUCAAAUUGAAUUUACCAAGAGAGGGAAAGAAAAUAAAUAUUGGAAAUUGCAAGAACGAAUUUAUACUCAGUUUUUCACCCACCUCUCUCACCCUCAUAGACAGCCACGACUUGGGCCCACUUGUCACUGACCUUGGGUGCCUCUUUAGCCCCACAACACACCCAUGGGCGUGCUCCCACCUCAGGACUUAAGGGGGUAGAGAAAACCCCAUCUUCUUCCUCGCCUUUCAUCUUCACUGCUUGUUCUUUCUUUUCUUCAUCAAGCUGAGCUCUCAUCUCACUUCUCCUCCCCAAAUCCCAUCCAAUAGCCUAAGAUCAAUCCCUGCAUGUAAGACCACAACAAUCCCUAUCAUAAAAACUUUGCAUCCAUCCCAACAUCUUGCACAUGCAUGGAGAGUUGAGAGAGAUCGAGAAGGAACAAAAGAGUGGUGGUUUCAGCCUGCAGGGCUGCAGCAGCAGCAUUUUGUUUUCCUCCAUUUGGUAAGCUUCCAUUUCAUCCAUGGUGCCUCUUUUGGAUUCCCUCCAUGUUGAACAUCUAUAGCAAUGUUCUAUAGGUUGUCCACUCCAUUGCUGCAGCUAGAAGGUGGCUGCAACUCACCCCGAGUUCAUAUCUUUUGAUUUCGGUUGAAGCAGCCCUAGGCAACGUCUCUUGCCGUCAGCCCAAGACCUUGCUCCAUCUCUUGCCAUCAGCCCGAGGCCUUAGCCUCGCAUGACCCUACGUCCAGGUUGCUACCAUGUGAGCGAAGUCCGAUGGAAGUUGGAGAAAAGGGGAGUGAAAAUAGAAAUCGAUUUCAAAGAUAUCUAUUGAGCUAAAAGAGGUAUGCGCUUUAAAAAUUCAUAACUAAUUCAUAUGAACUCCGAAUUCAGUGAACCAAAUUUCUGUGGAUUAAGAAAAACGUGAUCUUCAAUGUUGUAAAAUAAAAAUGACCAACUUUUGUACUGGUUUUCCCAGUAAAAAUAUAAAUAGCUAAUAUGUAUCCCUUGUGUGGUCUAGCUCUUAAUAAAUUCGCAAGAAAUUAUUGGUAAAAGCUAAAAUUGUGAAACCAAUUUUGUUGAGCUUAUAUUUUAGUACUCUUUGCUGUUGUGGUGUUGUUUUUGGCAAAAAUACCUCUUAAAUCUUGUUUAGCAGUUAUUUAGCAUUCCCAUGAUUUUAACUUGUAAAACCCAUAUAUAAAUGAGAUAAUCCAUGAAAUGCCAUUGACAAGCGUCCCAGAAAUGCCGUUAACGGCGCGGAAUGGACGGAACCCUAACGGCGAUGGCAUUUUUGGGACAAAAUCGUUUGUACGAUGGCAUUUAUUGGAACUCACACUUGUCGAUGGCAUUUCUGGGACUUAGACGCUUGUCAAUGGCAUUUCAUGGAUUAUCUCUAUAUAAAUAAUGACAACAGAUACAGCUGUGAAAUAUUUUUUCUUAGAACCUGUGAGUGAUGUAAUUUACUCUAAAAAUAAUCAUUAUUAUGAAAUCUUGGUUUGAAAUGCAUGUUACUUGUAAUGUACUAAAGGAAAUGUUAAUAUUUACAGAACUGCCAUUUUCAACACCUGAGAGCUUGUCAUUUUCAUAUCUCCCAAACCAUAAGUGAUAAUCUAGUGAUUCUUUCAACUAAAUUCAAGUUAAAAUAUGAUCUACCCACUAUAUUUAUUUCAUAAUUUAUUGAUCAUUUUGCAUGUGCAUGUUUAUUUGGCUCUUAUUCGCAUAUUACUUCUUUUCGAUAGAUUCGGAGAUUCCGGAGAGUAACGAGCCAUAUCCUGAGGAGGAUAGUGACUACCCUCAGCAGCAAGGCAAGCACCUAAGCAUAUAGAACCUGUGCUUUCUCUAAAAAUGAUUUGGUUGCAAUCUAUACGUAUAUAUAUAUGCAUGUAUUGCCUAGAUAUUAAUAUUGUCGAUUUAUGGUGUAUGGGUAGAACCUAUUUAUGCAUUUAGUUCUUGUGAUAUUGCUGUCCUUAUACCCCAUUACCAUUGGUUGGGAUUGCUUGGGAUGUCUUAUUCAUUAAUGCUUAGCCAUGCUUAGUGCUAAUAGAACUAUAGUGAUAGACAGUGCUAUUAAUUGUGGUAUAUAGACAACUUGCAUUAUUGGGCAUAAAACUUGAGCACUUACACUACUAAAUAAUGGUUGAUGAAAUAUGUUGGACUUGGACGGGUGAUAGGGCAAUGAUGGGAGGUUGGUUUCCCCUGAUGCAAGUAGCCCCGUCUAGGUUGUUAAGGACUGAACAUUUUGACAUCUAAUCAAGCACCCUACGUACUUAUCACAUGCCUUAUUUUGGGACCGGCUUGUUCUUACUAGUUCUAUUGUGAUCAUUUAUACCACGUUGGAGAGUUGUGAGGCAGGUAGCCUUUGGAGGGCCUCGGGUGCCUAGGUUUGGCCGGGGGUGCCUCCCGCGUGGCGCGCCCGCCUUGGUCACAUCACGCACGCACGUGACUGAGUCGUCGGGAAGGCUAGCGUGGUAUAGGUGGUUGGGGUGGGGCUAAGAAAGGGCAUGUAAUGAGCUUGAAUCACUUGUGUACCGCAGUUGACGGGGUGUGUAGCAUUUGAUCUUUGUUCAUUUCGUGUGGGACCAGUUGUACACCUCUGAUCAGAGUAUAAUCUAUUCGAAUAGUCGCGUCCUCGGUGAUGGACAAUGCUUGAUGUGUUAGUCAGUUAUGUUAGCAUCAAAUGUGGAUUAUUAUGGAUGGGAUUAUGUUCGAUGGUGGUGUUGGCAUGUUGUGCCAUGUUGGUAUAGACUUUGGUAGUCCAUGGUUGAUGAUGAGAGCGCCGUUUGGGCUCAUUUGCUUAUACAUUUCAGAAUUAUAUACUUGCUGUCCAUAAAUUAAAAUGAUGCUAGAUUUACUUAUCCUUGCUUAUUUUACUCAUUAAUUGCUCAAUAAAAUUAGCUUUAUGCAAAUGUUGAACCUAGAGACCCACUAUAGCCUAGAAAGCUUGCAUACUUCUCUCUCCCUUAUGUAUAUAUAAUUUUGGGUAAGACUUGCGAGUACAAUCUUGUACUUAACCCGGUGUCUGCAAUUUCAAGAGAGGAUUCCGGUUAUGAGUUAUGCUUCUUGUGUGGUAAUUGCUUAGACGAGGGCGGCGAGGGCAAUGAGUGAUCUCUUGCAGCUUGGCUCUUGCCCGGUUGGUUUGCAUUAGUGGGGUUGUGGCACCACCGGUUUUAUCUUUUGCUUAUGAACUCUAUUUGAGACUUCCGCUGCUAUAUUUAUGUGUUGUAUGUUGGGACCUCGGACCCUAUUAUGUGCCAUGUACCUCGCUGCACUUUAACCCUAUUAUGGUACUUGCUAUGUUUUUAAUUGCUUCCGAUGAAAGUGUGAGGCUAAUCACAUUCCUGGGGACUAGCUAAGCAUGAGUAACGAGUUUUGAUCGCUUGAGAUAAUUGGGGAUAGCGCUUUGGAUUGAGUCACUGGGGUAUACUUUUGGUCGCCACCUUCGAGUGGUUGACGGGCAUAUGACGGAGUGGACUGGCAAGCUAUCUUACGGUUAUGUCUUGCGCUCACUACUUGACAUUCCGGUUAUUAUAACAGAAGGUUGUCAACCGCGAUCAUGGACACAUUGAGGACGAAUGGCUAUUUAUGCGUAUAUGGAUCCCACUUCUCCAAUAGUAUGUGGUGGUCGCGUUGGACACUGGAUGGUAUAAUAUUCGGGGUGUCCCCAAAUACUUUAUAUUUACCUCUGUAUAAUCACUGCCCUUUGCAGGCUAACCUUGGUUGUUUUCACUUUUGUUGUGAAAACGGGGUAGUGCAUGACUGGUUUCAACCUACCGGAAAACUUUAAGGAAAAUCCAGAAGCUUUCUUCCGGAGCGUCAAGCCGCAAGUCAUCGCUCCGUAGAAAACUCUACCGAUAAAGAAACCAGCCAUACCAGCUUCACCGACCUUCAAGACCAUGGCUGAUAAGACCCUCCGUGAAUUCGCUGCUCCCUUUGCUGACAAUGUUCCAUUGGGCCGCAUAUCAACAUGGGAGAUGUGGAUUUCGAUCUAAAGUCCAGCCUCAUCACGAUGACACAUGCUAGCCCGUUCUGCGGCAAGCCUAAUGAGGAUGCCAAUGCUCAUUUGCAGCAGUUCCUGGAGAUUUGUAGUACGUACACCAUGAAGGGUGUCAGUCCUCCUUAAAGGCUCUUGUCUUUGCGCAAGCUAAAACCACUAAUGCCUUAAGCAAAAAGCUAGCUGUCAAUGACAAGGUCUUAGAGAACAUUAAUGUCAAGCUAGAUGGCUUCGCUUCUGCUUUCCAAAACUAGCUGAGCUUUACUAAGAUGAUAGAAACCCAGCUAGCUCAAUUGGCUUCAUAGGUACCUGCAAGUGAAUCUGGGAGAAUUCCGGGGCAGUCUGACUCCUCCAUUGAAAAUGUCAAGGCGAUCACAAUGAGGGGAGGUAAGUCCACUCGUGAUCCACCGUAUCCCAUGUUGAUGGUCGUUAUCGAUCAGUUUCGACCGUCAAUAUUACUAAAAUAGAGGAGAACUAGUGAUGCUUGCAAUGCAUAUAUCUGUUAGAAUAAUAAUAUUCCACUAGUAUUAGGUAUACUAACCUUUUGCAGAGAAUGACAAUAAAGUGGAGGAGAAUCGACAUCAACUCAGACGAUAAAUCAAUCGGACGGUAUCGAGAACCAGACUUACGUAUGAAUGGGCUAAGAACUCAGAAAUAACACGACACACUGGGCCAAAAUUCACAAGUCUACGGAGGAGGACAACAAAGGAGGCCGCAAGCAAAGAUGGGUUGGGUUGGGCCAGCCCAUGGUUUGGCCGAACCAUAGGGUUCGACGGAACCUCCCAUGGCGCUGAUGGAUGCAGGUUUUGGAUGGACGGCUGGGAUUGAUCCCCAAUGACAGUUGGAGGGUAUUAUCGACCAUUCCAACCGUUACAACCGUCAUUACCUGCCUAUAAAAGGAGCUCAUCUUCUCACUUCAAACACACACCUCAAGCAAUAGCUCUCUCAUAUUCUCUCAAGUUUAGUUUAGUAGUAUCUAGCUGGUGGAAUAGGAAUAUAGUAGAAAUCAGGAGUCCGGAAGUCUUCGGAAGAGUUCGGGUAUGACUCUAGUAGCUUUUCUCUUCUCUUUUGUACGCUUUGUACUUUUAUUAGAAUACUCUUCUAUAUACAUUUAUGGUAUUGAAAUACUUUCUGAGUAUAUGAAUGCCUACUUUACAUUAUGUUAAUGUUAUACUGAAUAUACGGCUUUUGUGCGGGUAUAAUAUUUACAUAUGCAAUUACUCUAUGUCAUGACGAUGAUAUUAGAGUACUAUCUGGUAGUUUAGAUGUGGUGUCUAGAUUGCGGGAUAUCAUUAUUUGGGGUUAUAUGCUGCGGAUGAGAGGUGGGCCGCUUAUAGUGACAGCUCAGUACGGGUAUUCCUCCGCGCCUGUAUAUAAUCCUAAGUUAAUUCCCUGGGGAGGGUAUUCCUCCGUAUUUAGCCCCGGUUGUAUGGUCAUGACGGGCUGUCGUAAGGAACUCGGCAGUCAGGGGUGGCUUCUCAAAGUACCAGGAGGGCAUCGGAUAGAGGGUAUUAGCUAGUAUAUCGGUUAACUAGAAUGUAUGUAUACUAUGUAUAUUAGAAGUAUAGGAAUAGAUUUUCUUUCUCUUUUCUUUCCACUUAGCUUAGAUAAUAUAUUAUGAGAAUGAGUAGCUAAUGCUUGUGUGUCACUCUACCCUUGGAAUACUCUCGGGUGAAAAGCUACAAUGUUAUAUCCGUGCGCUUGCGGACGUGCGCUUGCGGAUGAACUCUAUAACCAUAAUAUACCAGAAGUAUUUCUGCGUCAUUGCUGGGAAUUAUAUUUCUAGUAAUGUCGUUAAGAAAUACCAACAUCCUAACCCUAUAGGAACUAAUGGUAUCGCCAAGGAAGCACCAUCUAGUAAUUCGGCUGAUGAAGAGGUUCAACCAGAGAAGGCUGUGCUGCAGGAGUACUGCGACACACGGUUGCUGCCGUUUCCUCAAUGGAUUAGGAAACCAUCGGUGGACGAGCAGUUCACUCGUUUUGUUGAAGUAAUCCAGAAGAUUCACAUCAACAUGCCGUUGUUGGAUGCUAUGCAAGUGCCAACAUGUGCCCGUUAUCUCAAGGAUAUCCUCAACAACAAGAGACCGCUCCCAACAAAGGAGGUGGUCAAGCUGACGGAGCAAUGCAGCAAUGCCAUACUCCACAAGCUCCCAGAGAAGAAGAAAUAUUCGAGGUGUCCAACGAUCACCUGUUCGAUCGGGGCACAAUAGUUCGACCAAGCCUUGUGUGAUCUUGGAGCAAGUAUCAACGUCAUGCCCAAACACGUCUUUGACAAAUUCAACUUCACGGUAUUGGCACCAACACCGAUGCGCCUACUAGUAUUAAAUAAAUACGAUACCCUUAGAAUACUCUCGGGUGAAAUGCUACAAUGGUAUAUCCGUGCGCUUGCGAAUGAACUCUGUAACCAUAAUAUACCAGAAGUAUUUCUGCGCCAUUGCUGGGAAUUAUAUUUCUAGUAAUGUCGUUAAGAAAUACCAACAACAUUGUAUUCCCUCUGUUUCAUAAUGUAAGACUUUCCAGCACUGUCUACACUCAUAUAUAUGUUAAUGAAUCUAGACACAACAUCUAAAUAAAUAUGGACAAUGCUAGAAAGUCUUAUAUUAUGAAACGGAGGAAGUAUUUUAUAUAUGAUUCUAUAUAGUAUUUUGACCAUUAAUGACUGAGGAAUCAGACUACAUGAUAACAAUUUUCAAGGUUUCAUCACAAUGUCUACCUCUACAGGAAAUCAAAUAAUUCCAGAAAACACUGAGAAAUAGAACAGAGUUUUAUAUAUUUGCUCCGGCGCAUAUAUCUCAACCUUUCUUCAUUUUGCUCAUCUAGUUAUAUUUGGGAGUCGUACGGUGUGAGAAAUACGCGGGAGUAGAUCGUUGGGAAUCACAACAUCACAAGAUAAAUUUCGCUAGCGUCGGCGUGUAUCGAGGCACAUACAACAAGGUGUAGCAAGCGACAGAUCGAUUAAUUGCAGUCUGCAGACCAGUCGAAGCACACGUACCACAUCGGCAGCCAGCAGAUAUUCUUCAAAUAUUUAGUAGCUUACAUAUGUAAUCUACACAUGUUAGUUCUUGAGAAUAUCUCAUAUAGAUCAGGACUGCCAGCAGGAGGAAGCGACAUGGCGCAUAUACACAACGCUAGACAAGAUCUGCUCAGAAUACUCAGCACAAUUAUGUAUAAAUGUCGUAUUCAUAUACAUGUGUUUCGAACACUUUUGCAUCAAUAUUUCUCUUUAUAUCUACCGAAUUCAUGCCAUUUGUUUUUUUUAUGAAUUGUCAUGUUUUGGUCAAGGUAGUUUGAUUUUGUCGUCAAAAUUUAUAUUUUAAAAUUAUACAGUUCCAAUAUCUUAUUAUAUUUAUAAUAACUUAAAAUACUUAUAACAUUAUCUAUCUAUAGAAUAUUCAACUAUCCACAAAGAAGAACAUAGUAAGUUUAUUUUCAUUUGGAUAUUGCUAAAACAUUAGAAAUGCCAAACAGAUACAAUUCUAUACUUUAUGAGCUGCUAAAGAGGAUGCAUGAUAUAAUGAUGUUAAAAGAUAUCUCACAUCCACAAUAUAACGAUUGCAUUGAGUCUGAAUAGGACCACAAUUCCUGUUUACAAAAUUAAAUACUGAGGUUAUUAGCAAUAUAGGAUUUCUGGAAAAUAAUAUUAAAAAUAAAAGAAAAUACAGAAUAGUUUGGACAAAAGAAUAUAUUGUGUUUGUUCGAUUAGUCCAAAUGACUCUUUUUUAAAAAAAUAAAGUUACCCUGUGCAACGCACGGGUUAACGUCUAGUAAGACAAAAUACAACAUGGAGAUGCGUGCAAUUUUUCUGAUUGAUGCUAUGCAAGCACAUGUUCAGAAAAUCCAGAAAAUAGAUUGUGCACAUUAAGGCCCUGUUUAGUUCCCAAACCAAAAAAAUUUCACCCUUCACAUCGAAUGUUUAGACAUAUGCAUGUAGUAUUAAAUAUAAAAAUAAAACUAAUUACAUAGAUUGAAUGUAAAUUGCGAGUCGAAUCUUUUAAGCCUAAUUGCGCCAUGAUGCGAUAACAUGGUGUUACAGUAAACAUUUGCUAAUGAAGGAUUAAUUAGGCUUAAUAAAUUCAUCUCGCAGUUUUCAGGCGGAAUCUGUAAUUCGUUUUGUUAUUAGUCUACGCAAAUAUGUGUACGUAUAUCCGAUGUGACAUGCCAAAAAUUUUCAUUCGCGAACUAAACUAGCCCUAAAUCUACUUUUCUGAACUAGUUACUAUUUUCCUUUCAACAUACGGUUAAAUUUGUAUAAAAAAGCAAGGAGAACAUACAAGUUCUAAGAUUUUCAGAUUUCUGAAUUCGAAACAUGCACAGAACUGAACAUGGUCGGUGCUAACUAAUAAAACAUCAUCUUUAACUAAAUUUGCCAACUAAAAUUUCAGAACAUAAAUAACCACUAUUUGAGUGGAAAAUGCGCGUAUUGACCUAGUUACUAGUUACUAUUAACUGUUGAAUUUUAUGUUGGCAACAUGAAAUUUUGGAGAAUAAAAGCUGACCUGAAAAAAGAGAAUGAACAAAUGCUGUCCCAUUCUUUCUGAACACAGCCAUUUUGAACCCCUUAUCCACACGCAAGGAUUCCCUUUGGCACUAGUCGAAUCUGAACACGCCUUUCACGAGAAAAUAUCAAUGGUUGACAAAAACAAAUAUGAUAUUGAUAGCACUGUCAGUCUAUCACAAGCAUGCAUUAGCUACUCAGCACAAAAAUAUUAAAAAUUUAACAGUUGAUGUAUUAAAAAUUCAAUACAAAUCUACUGAAUCUCAUCCUAUCCCAAACUCAAGAUGCAUUACUUGGCCAAGAACCUAUCCUUUGCAGUACAUAGCUCACCUUCCCUACUUCAAGAAACACACAAUUUUACAAAAACAAUCACUCUGACUUCCCUUGUCUGAUAUAGCUAUUAGAAAAUUAUUAGUCCUAGUAGAGGACAAAACUAAGGAGAACAUGACAGGGGAGACUGCAGGAGAGGGAGAACAAAAGGAAGGUAAUGUACUAAGUAUUCUUUAUUGCUAACAAAAGUAAAAAUACUAUCUAUUCAUAGUGAAGUUCUAAAAUUACUAGUUUCCUCUAAAAUGUUCAGAACAUAAUCAUGCAAUGCUAACAUUUUCAGGAAAAGAUGCAGUGUUUGGAGGCUAGCAAAAUGGCAUGAUCAAGAAGGAGUUGGUGAUACUCAAAGUAUUUGAAAAACUAAAAGCUUACAUCAAUCAGUAUCUAGUCUUCUACUGCAUUAGGUAGCUAAAAUUCACAGAUAUCAGGCUUAGUUAACUUUAAUCUUCUACUGCACAAAUGUUUUGUUAUUCUCAAACGGUUUUCUUUUGGAAGCAUUGGUCAAAGAAGAUAUCACUGAGUGAUCUUAAGUGGUGGAGUAGAUAGCAUCAGCCGUUUCCCCCCUAACCGUACAAUCUGCGCAUCCCCAUCCUGUCUGCUACUCAUGUAAUGCGCGAAAAAACUCCCAUGCGCAUUUUUAAGUUUUUAUUUUUUUAAUAUUUACAGAAAUAUUAUACCAUCCCUGCCAACCAAAUGGAGGGCGGCAAGGUGUGCGCAUUUUGCACUGAGGUCCCUUGCCGCCCUCUGCAAGGAGGCAAAUGCAAUUUUCGCCCUGCCAAAAAUACAUUUUUCUAGUUUUUUUUUCAUCUUGUCUGUCUCUCAUGUCACCCUGCCACUCUCGGGGAGGGCGGCAGGGUCUACUUCUGUAAAUAUUUUCACCGGUACAAUAUUUCUAUAAAUAUUAAAAAUAAAAAAUUUAAAAUGAAAAAAAUUCUCACAUGCGCGCGAUUUGUUGCUUCAUCAUGUGGGUUUUGUUGGGCCAGAGCCAGCAGCCCGUCUUGGGUGGAGAAAAAAAAGCCCACAACGUUUUGUCCUCUGUAAAUAAAAGCCCACAGUCCUAGAAAAGUUGUGACUUUUUUUCGGUUUUAGAUUUUUUUUUAAUAUUUACAGAAAUAAUCUAUCGACCAAAAAAAUUGCAGAAAUAGCCCCUGCCGCCCACCUCUGGGGCGGCAAGCUGACGUGGCAAACGGGGGAGGAACGGGCGGUGACGGAGGGAGGGUUUUUUGCAGGAAAACCCUUGCCGCUCUCUGGUGGGGCGGCAAGGGGCCCGAAUGCAAAAAAGCCAGUCGGGGCCGGCUAUUUUGCAGGCAGCCCCUUGCCGCCCUCUAGCCGGGUGGCAGGCCUCGCUGCCUAUAAAAGGCCUGCUGCCCAGCCCCCAGCCCUCAUUCUUCUCUCCUCAAUUCCAGUGAAAAAAAAGAAGAGAGGGGAGGAGAAGAGAAGAAGGGGCGAAGCCCUGCCGGAUUCAGACGCCGAUUUCAGGUAAUAUUCAUAGAUCCUAUAUGUGACUAUUGAGUUAAAUAGUGUGUAUUCUUUAAAAAUUUGUUUGAAUAAAUGCAUUAUAUUUUUAGGGUUUUAGUUUUACUAAUCUAGAAGUGCGUAUUGUAGAUAUCGGUAACUACGUAGAUCUGCUAGUUUGGAAUUAAUACAUUACCGUUGCAUUGGCUUACACAAGAAGAUAUUACGUUGUAGAUGUUUAUUGCAUGAAAGAGUAAUAUGAUCUAGUUAUUUCGUUGACAGAUAUGUCGAACAAACAAAUAUUCCAAGUUUACCAUGGACCAGGAAACGUCCGUUACGGGCCAACUGGGGUAGAUCUGUCAGAUUUUAUUGUAUCAGAAAGGGGAAUUGAUAGACCGGCUGAGAGGAGUGUACCUUCUAUAAAAGGAUUGUUAAUGAGGGGCUUGAGAGUUGAUCCACAGACAAGUGACAUAACAAUCAAUGUUAUAGUAAGUCGGGCAACUGAGGGUUUUUAUUGGGAACUAAUGCCAGUUCAAAACUCUCGAGUGUGGAGAUGGUAUUUGGAAAAUGCAUUGCAACGCGGGUGGCCUCUAGCUUUGGUUCCGUUUGUUCACCCGAAGGAUCCAGGUGUGCAGACGAACAUGGAUGAUGGUGAGGGACCAAGUGCUGAAGUAAACGAGACUUCUGUGGAGGAGGUCAACGCACGAGAGGACGGGGGCGUAGUAGCUCUAGUGGGCAUUCAACCAGGUGGAGUGGCCGACGAGGGGGAGACUGUCGGUGCCAUUGUGGAUAAAAUGGAGAGGGAGGAUUCUGACAACGAGCGUGUAGAGGAAGGUGAUUCGUCAGAUGAUGAGACGGAUAUUAAUCCAGAAGAAUGGGCUAGUGAGGAUUUUUCUGGGCUGAUCGUCUCUGAAGAGGAUAGUGUGAGAUGGGAGUACAAAGAAAAUGAGGUUAUUCAGGGAGCGAUUUAUAGUAAAGCAGAAGAUAUGAAGGAGGCGGUAAAACAUUUUGCAGUGUCACUUCAUAGAGAGUUUUGGGUUGCCAAGUCGAACCGGUCGCAAUAUGAAGUUCGGUGUGUUAAGGAAAAAGAUGGUUGUCCCUGAAGAGUGCACGCGUAUAAGGGGAAAUGGAAGGAUUAUUGGAUAGUGUCAGUUGUUACCAAGCAUACAUGUUUUCUACCUGGUGUUCAGAAAUACCACAGGAACAUUACAUGUGCAUUUGUUGCAUCUGAGAUGUAUGCGCAUGUCAUUGAUAAUCUCACAUAUGAACCAAGGUCAAUAAUCCGACACAUUGAAGAGACAUACAAGUAUACUAUUAGCUAUGCCAAGGCCUGGAGGGCCAAACAGAAAAUAAUAGAGAUGAUAUUUGGAACUUACGAAGCCUCGUAUGACAAUUUGCCACGCCUGCUUGGUGUUAUCGAGGAAAGAAACCCUGGGAGCUCUUACAAAGUGAAGAAAUUACCCUCAAUUGAACAUCCUGGCAAGAGUGUGCUGCAAAGGGCGUUCUUAGCUCUACAUGCAUGCAAGAUGGCAUUCGUGAACUGUCGUCCUGUUCUCUGCAUUGAUGGGACAUUCUUGACAGGAAAGUAUCGGGGCCAGAUACUAACAGCAAUAGGGGUAGAUGGGAACAAUCAGGUAUUGCCCUUGGCAUUUGCUUUUGUUGAGAGUGAGAAUACCGACAGCUGGUACUGGUUCCUAAAAUUGGUUAAAACAAAAGUUGUUGGUAUGAGGCCAAAUGUAUGCCUGAUACAUGAUAGGCACGCUGGCAUUCUGCGAGCGAUAGGAGAGUUGCAGUUUGGGAGUAUGGAACGAGGAUACCCCGGUGUUUGGGAAGAUGUACAGAGUAGGUGGUGCAUGCAUCAUAUGGGAGCUAAUUUCUUCAAGCAAUUCAAGAACAAGGAGCUCAUGAACAUGUUCAAGAGGCUGUGCAAUCAGAACCAGGAGAAAAAAUUCAAUGAGCUUUAGAAGAGAUUAGAUGAGUUGACAGCCAAAUGCAGCGAUCAGCGUGCAGCGGCUCCAUCGACCGCCGUUGCUGACCCUCCUCAAGCUCUUGGACCUCUCCCAACGGAUAGUCCAACAUUGGUUAGAAGAACUGGAUUGGAGAUUCGGAAAUUUUCUCAGUGGAUUCUGCAUGAAUCAAAAGAGAAAUGGGCCAAGGUGUAUGACACAGGUGGUGCUAGAUAUGGAAUAAUGACAACAAAUUUGGCAGAAGUUUACAACUGGGUGAUGCGCGGUGUCCGUGGACUGCCACUAGUUGGCAUAGUGGAGUUCAUUUUACAUGGGACAUGCAGGUAUUUUAGGGAUCAGUUCCAGGCAGUUCUUCCCUCUAUGCCGAACAACAGCAUUUUGUUUGGAGCUUUCGUGCAGAAAAAGCUAGAGGAGUUGCGUAAAAAGGCCAUGAAACAUCGAGCUCUAGUGCAAGGUACCCAACAGCUCAUGUUUGAGAUACUAUGUCAAGAUAAGGCAGGCAGGGGUAUCUACCGCAAGAGUGAAGCAGGAGUGUGUUCUCAAAGCCGACGGCACAUGUCAUUGCUCUUGUGCAAAGCCGAAGCUGCUCCACAGGCCAUGCACCCAUGUCAUUGCUGCCGCAGCGGAGUGUGGCAUACCAGAUGCAGUAUAUGUGUCACAGUACUUCAGUAAGUAAGCAAUAUAUCAUACAUGGAGCGGUGAGAUUUAUAGUUUCGGCAUAGCUGGGGAGUUCACAGAGACUAACGAUGAAGUACUCAAUAUUCCUGACCCAUCGAAGCUCCGAGGUAAGGCUGGAAGGAGGAGGACUCGUCGCAUCCGCAACGAUAUGGACGAGUCGGAGGCUGGCAGGGUGAAGCGUUGCAGCAAAUGCGAUGAACAUGGGCACACCUACAAGCAUUGUCCUAAAGACAAGGAGAAACCAAGUGCGGCGGAGGCAGGACUAUCAGGAUCAGCAGCAGAUGGAGCUCGCCCUACGGGUGAAGGCACUACCUCCACUCGACCACGUCCUAGGCGUCGUCGUGCCACGCCUGGCUACGUGGUGUAGUUCUUAUGUUCUAUGUCGGCAUGUGGAUUUGCUUGUAAUUCGUUUCGAACUUAUCGAUGUGUUUAUGUUUCGCCGUGUAAUGCCAGACUUCGGCAUGUCAUGUCUUUAGGUCUCGUGAUGUAACGUCGGACUAAGGCGCCUAACGUCUUUAGGUAUGCUGAUGUAUGUCGGACUUCGACACGUAAUGUUAUGUUAUAUUAUUGAACUCUACAUAUAUGUUAAAUUGCACGUCAUCGUUAUGUACCACUAGUAACGUUUGCUAUAUUUAAAUAGCCUGUACUCUUGUUGUACAUAAUUAAUCUCAUGAUUUUAUUACUAUUUCAUAAUUUUGCAAGUUAUCUUUUGUUUUACAGUACUAUUUUUUGAAUUGUUCUAACACGAAACACUAUAUUUUUCAGAGAUGGCACGUCAGGAUACACCUCAGUUGUUGGACCCGGCGAUAGAUCACCGACACCGGUCUCACCUUACUGCGGUGCAGGGGGCUCAGCUUGGGACGAUCCGGGCACGGACGUGCGGUGAGCUACUCACAGUUCACGACUCCUUUGUCGAGAGGUACGAACAGUGUUUUACUAUAAGUUAGUUGCACUGUAAUAUUUUUUAUAAUGACAUUAAUUUGUUAUUGCAGGCUACGUGAGGCCGGCCUCCUACCGAUGUGUCGGCUGGUGGAGGCUGCGGCCGGCGACGCGGACCCGGCCAGACGAUGGACUGUGGACAGGUCCCUCCUAGCAGCUUUGGUCGAUUGAUGGAGGCCAGAGACGCACACUUUUCACUUGCCGUGCGGUGAGGUAGCCCCUACCCUACAGGACAUAUCGUACUUGUUGGGGCUACCGCUAGCAGGAGACGCUGUUGGGCCAGUGACCACGGCUGUGGACUGGCAGGACGAUCUGACGGCACGUUUCGCACUAGUACAGCGCGCACCGCACCUCCCGCUCGAGCCGUUGGCACACCACCGCAACACCGGACCUACGAAGAGGUGGCUGCUUCAGUUCACUGUGAGUGUUUUUGUACCGAAAUGACAAUCGUAUUACAUAUUUAGUCCGCAGUUAAGGUGCCUAACAUUUUAUCGACGGCUUGCUGGUUGAGCAGCUACAGGCGGAGGCCGACGAGUACUCCUACAGCCGAUGUUUGGAGGCGUACUUGCUCUGGCUUUUUGGCUGGGUGAUGUUCUGUGGCGGUCACGGGCACUCGGUCGACAAGGGACUCGUGCACUACGCCAGGAGCAUCGCCGACGCCGCGGUAGGCGUGGUGCCUCAGUGGAGCUGGGGUUCCGCGUUGUUGGCGGCUCUGUACCGUGCACUUUGUGAGUCUUGCACGAAGACGGAUCCCAGCGCGACCUUUGGUGGGUGCCCUCUCUUUCUUUCUAUCUGGGCAGCUGAGAGGAUUGCGAUCGGCCGCCCUGAGGUGGACCAGCACGCGUACGAGGAGUCACUGUACGAGGAGCGACCAGAGGUCGACUACCCUACGAUGGGUACUCUGUGGUGCUGUCGUCAGGUACGUUGCAUCGAUCUUAUCGUAUUGUUAAGUUAAUUGUUAAGUUAAUUGUACAUCACAUCGAUCGUCUCGUAUUGCAGCGCCGAUGGGCCCACGUCCAGGUUAGGCGGUCGUAUCCUGAGUUUGUUAUGGAGUUCGACCGCCUUCUGCCGACUGACGUCGUGUGGGAGCCCUACAGUGCCACGGCUACCCAGGCUCGUGUGCCGUUGGGUCUGUCCACACUCUGCACCAGGGACCAGGCGUACUGGAUGACUACAGUUCCGAUGGUCUUCGACAUCUGCGUUGAGCCUCACGCCCCUUUCCGCGUGAUGCGGCAGUUCGGCUUCCGUCAGCCCUUUCCAGUACCGUUUCCGACCACCGUCCCAGCUGCUGUUCACCGGUAAGAUCUUGCACUACGCUUUCCGUUGUUGCAUUAAAAUCUGCCUGUUCACAAUAAUUUGUAACAUCUGUCGUUUCACACUAAUAUUACACAUUAAUUCGCAGGUACUCGCGCAAGGGUCAGCAGUCAGCUGGCGACUGGCCCGCCAAGUUGGCGACUUUUGUUGAGGACUGGUUGCUCGCAACCGAGGAGGUCGUGGACCACGAGGGAGAGCCACACACUGAGGAGUCGUACCAGGCCUACCUACGCUGGUACCAGCCACGCACCCGUACUAGGGUCACCUUCGCUCCCUUGGAGCAGCAGCCCCACGUUGCGAGCACUAGAGACCUCUAUGCCAGGCACCGCGACCAGGACUUCGCUCGUGCUGUGAGUACCCUGCAUCGCACCAUUCCUUUAUGUUUUCAUGUCUUUCUCUUCGUCAAAUUUUACGAAUAUUUACGAACAAAUUAACCAUGCAGGUCGACGACAUCAACCGGGUCGUCGUUGACGGUUCAACGACGACCAACGUUUAGGCGCGGGGAUUCCGGUACCCAUAGAGGAGCACCUGACGAUGUACAUGCGGAUGGUGGAGUCGAUGCGCUCGAUUCUCCGAGUGCUCACCUGUCAUGCAGACGACGUUGCUCGGGCAGACGCAGCUGUACAGCGGCCACCCGUACCGACUGGUCCCCGUCCAGCUGCGCACGUUCCUAGGCCGACUCCCCCUCCGCACGGAGGUAAGUAUUUUUAUUACUAUUUCUGUACAUGCCUCGCACAUAUAAGUGAGCCGUUUCACUUGCCGAUUGCUUCAGGGUUUCGUGCACCGUUCAGCACCCCACCUUCCUCGGCUAGGCCUUCUGUUGUGCCCCCCACAGGUACUUAAAAAAACAACAUUACUUCGACAAUCAAUUUACAUACAUUUUAUGUCUUAGCUUACAAGGGUCCCGUUGUCGAUGUGUAGGUUUCGCCCAGUUCGCUAUGACGCAGGCCGCCCACUUCUCCCAGGCUGCAGGGUCAGUGUCUCAGGCAGCUGUGUCGACCUCGCACUCAGCGCAGUUCUGGCAGUACACUGGGACUUCGUCACAGGCAGCCGGCACGUCGAGUCAGGGUCCACCACUGGACCAUGCUGGGACCUCGUCGGACUGCUUGUUGCCUUCCACCUUCCUCUUCGACAUCACUGACUUCGACUUCGCUUCAGGCUCGACAGAGGACGUCAUCGGCCCCUCACAGCUGGGAGGCGCACCGCCGGUGCAGACGCAGGACCAGGCGUAGGCCACUCCUUCGCGGGACACUCGUGUUACCCGUGCUGUGCCACCGGAUCAUUUCACCUACUCCCAGGACCACGUGCGAGCACAGGCCCGGAGGAUCAAGCAUGGUUGCGGCGCGUGGCAGGGCCAGUAGAGCAGUCUUCUCUUUGUUUACUUGCUUCACUUUCCAGUACUGUAUGCUUGUGUAAUGACUACGUUGUUGUUAUAUGUGCACGAUACCUUUCGGCGCAUGCACGAUACCUUUCGGCGCAUGCACGACUACUUUCUGCCGCACCGAUGCAGCCUCCUUUAUUCGCGUGUGAUACGAGUAUUUGCCCGCCAUUUGGCGCAUACGACCAAUGUAACUUUCGGCGCCGAUCAUGCAUGUAUCUUUCGGCGCCAAUCAGGCGUACCCACCAUACCCCACCACGUUCACAUGUCAGGGGUAUCACUCGAUUUUUUGCGCCUAUAUAAGUCGCCUUAACGAGUGAGGCCUCACAAUCUUUCAGAACUCAGUCACAUUCAGUACUCUCUUCCCCACUUGCUUCAUUACAAAUCCGACCGACUUUCGUCAAUGGCUAGACGCCGAGGUGUUGAGGAUCCAAACUGGUGUAGCGAUCCUUGUGUAUACCUACUACCACCUUGGUGCCAGCGUCCUCUCUGCCUAUGCGGUGAUCGAUGCCAACUAAUGGCUUCGAGGAAUCCUGAUAUUCGAGGAAGGCGCUUUUUUAGGUGCCCUAACUAUGACCGUGAGGUAUUUUAUUAUCUGCAUAUGCUUAUUCAUUCCGUAUGGGCAAUCGCUUUAUUCUUCGUAACACUACUCUAUUCGACAGACCCGCACUACGGCUUGCGCAUACAUCGAGUGGGUCGAUACAGAAAAUCCCGUUCUCGACUUAACCACUUGUUUACAAGAAGGUCGCUGGUAUUUCGCAUCCGAAAGUACUGAGCAAUACUUACAGAGAAAAGCGGCUUAUGAACGACAAUGUCGUGAACAACAGAGCGACUGGCGGGUGCUAACUACGGCACUCCCUCCAUGGGAAGCCCGUCCAAGAUGCAGGUGUGGUGAUCAUUGUCAGGUUCUUCGUUCCAUAAAUCCUACAACAUUGGGUCGAAGGUUCUUUGUUUGUCCAAAUAUUCUUGACGACGAUUUUAUGGUAAGAAUAUUUUGAUUACAUGAAUCCUUAUUUUCUCACAACAUUUACUAACUUUGCUUGCUUUACAUCUAUUCUUUCCUCCUAGGAACCACCAAGGAGAUGUCAAUAUAGAGAAUGGAUAGACACCAGAAGGGUUCUAACUCCACCUAGCCGUGUUAUGCAGCUUGAACUACCAGAGCAAUACAGGGUUACUAAAGCGCGGUUUGAGAGAGGAGAGGGAUCCUCACGUAGGGGUUAGCUAUUAUCGGACAACUUGGCAUAUUGAAAUUUCUACUGUCAUGCUUCCUUGUCCCAUUACUACAUCGUCGUUGUGUUCAACUAUUGCACUACCUCUCUCCUAGUUCGAAUCUAAUAUCAUCUAUGUAACCGCAAUGCAAAUAGUUGUAUCAUGUUCAAAUUGUACUACUAUUUCUUCAUGUUACAUAAUUCUCCUUGUUUAAGUCCAUAUAAUGUUUCUACGACCCAGACUGCGAUAGGCCUAUAUAAAUUAUCCGAGUACUAAUACGUCGAAUAAGGUACAAAAUAAUACCUCACUUAACAUAUGAAAUUGCGCAACAACCAACUUCAAUACAUUUUUAUAACAAUAUUAACAAGUUUUACCAAUAAAUACUUCUUUAUUUAUUAUUAACAUAACAUAGAAAAAUCUUUUGGCCGUACUUUUUUCAUCUGGGUCCCUUGCCGCUCUCUAUUGGGGCAGCAAGGGACCCGGAUGAAAAAGUACGGCCGCAAGCUCUUUAUGGGCGGCCAAAAUUGCAAUUAGCCCCUUGCCGCCCUCUGUACGGGCGGCAAGGGCCUAAUCGCAAUUUUGGCCGAUGGCGGCAGAUGGCGCGGUCGAUCCACCGUCUGCCACGUCAGCUUACCGCCCACCAUUAGGGCGGCAGGGGCUAUUUCUGUAAUUUUUUUGGUCGAUAGAUUAUUUCUGUAAAUAUUAAAAAAAAAAUCUAAAAACGAAAAAAAUUCGAAAAGUUGUUAUCUGUGCAAACAAAAGCCACAACCCAGAAACGUUUUGUCAUCUCCAUUUGGUUUCUUCAACCAGAAAUUUGUGGUCUUUCUUUGAUUGUCAGAUCAGAAAAAAAGAGAUCAAAUCCAGGCUGGAAGAAAAGAAGAGAUCGACCAAAAGAGAGGAGCCAAAAUAGAUGGAGAAAGAAGAAAAAACUCAUAAAAAUCAUCGAAUAUAUUCAGAGAGAAAAAAUGGCUUCAUCUCUGAUCUAGAUGCCCUGCAAGCCUGCCUGUUGCAUGGCUGCUGCAAUGCACUGCUAUGCAUGAUUACCAAAGCCACCAAAUAGAAAUCUAAAAACAAUGGUGGUGUUUGAAUCGGCUGAAGAUGAAGAUUACUCCCUCCGUCCUAUAAUAUUACAACCUAGGACUGGAUGGGAUGUUUCAUAGUACAAUGAAUCUGGACAUGCAUCUAUCCAGAUUCGUUGUAUUAUGAAACGUUCCAUCCAGUCCUAGGUUUUAAUAUUAUGGGACGGAGGGAGUAAGUGUUUCACGCAAAACGAGGUGGUAAUAAUAUGUGAUUAAUUGAGUUUUAAUUAUUACAAACUUGCAAAAUGGAGUAAUAUGAUAUUUUAGAACAACUUUCAUAUAUAAAGUUUUCGCACGAAACACACCGUUUAGCCCUGCUUGCAGUGGAAUCGAAUGCAGCCAAUGUGUAACUUCUGCAUAGGGAUGCAGUACUGAAAAAUAUGGCAAGCAAUAUGACAAGCAAAUAUCAGCAUUAAGAACGAUUUCUAGUGGUUAGGCUAUGACAUAAAUAAGUGAUAAACUGAUUAAUAUGUACCAAAAUUAUAAAAAUAGAAAUCAGGCUUAUUUAGGAAAUGUCGACAAAAGCGAUACAAAAUGUUACUCCUAUCUACUUUGAGAUGACCAAAUAUUUUAUAAAAUUCUAUCUACAUGACCAAGUAGAUAGACUAGGAACACUCACUUUUAUUUUCUGAAGUAAACUUCGAAGUAAUCUCCCACUGCCCCGCACGCUGCAAGCGCUUCGCCCAAUCGCACGCCUCUAUGUCCAAGGCUUAUUUGCCUAAUCGUGGGUCCUCAGGUAGGCUUCUGAGCAUUAUAUCCUUGCUUAUCUCUUCUUCCGCUCCACCUCCGCCGCCGCAGGGCUUGCCAUCAGUUGUUGCUGCGCUGCUUUAUCGGCACGAAUUCUUGUAUUUGCUAUGUUUUCUGGUCAAACACCUAAAAAUUGGGCAACUUAGAAAUUAGUAACAAAAUAUGUUAGCUUUAGUAAAAUAUGGAACACAAUAGAAAGAUGUAGCUAAAAUUUAAUAACUGAAAAAGACAAAACAAAUAAUAUGAUUUUAUAGUUGCUAUCAUUUAGAUAGAACACCAGCUUGAUUAAUAUGUGGGAAGAUUUUAAAAUCCGACAAAGACAAAUAAGACAAACACCAACAAAAUACAAAACCGGUAGAUGAUAGGGCUAUGACCUAGAUAAUAUGAUUUCAUAGUUGUUAUUAAGAUAGCGCAUUAGGUUGAUUAAUAUGUAGGAAAAUUAUAAAAGUUGCAAAGACAAAGACAAAAUACAAACACAAUACGACAAAAGUUUAAAUUGUGAGAUGCUGACAAAACAAAAAAUGAUAAAAAAAUUUUAAAAUACGUUCGCCGCCAUUAAACGCAUCAUGGUCGCGUGCCGCGUCGACGCGAUUACAAAACUGGAAUGGGCUUAAGCCCUUCAUAUGAAAUUAAUAUAGUUUUCUCGGUAGAAUGCCAGGAACAAAGAAGCCCACUAAUUAAAAGCACUUGGGCGUUGGACCUUUUUCAGUGACUUUAAAAAAGCUCACUCUAUCAAACGAUUAAAAAAACAAUAAAUGGAUUUAAUCACAGGAGCAAAAAUCAUACAUGAUACAGGAGCAAAAAUCGUAAAGCAGAAAAACUUCAUCCAUGGCCUUGCCGUAUCCAUGACCAUAAGUUUCAAAUCCCUCAGACAUCAUCUAAUACUUUAUCUCAUGAAUGUUAUGCUUGCCAUGUAUAGUUCUACAAGCUAUCGUAUAAAACAGUGAGAAUUUUUAAUUACAGAAGAAGAGUACAACAUCAACCCAGUAGGGUAGGUUUCAGUGAUCUCACCUCAGCGGUUAUGCAAAUACUUGACAUCAGACCAGCAAAAUUUCAUCCAAGGCCUUGCCUCAACCCUCCCAAAAAUCUUAGCUUCUGAGGAAGCAUUCAACACAUUAUUAAGCAGUGGCAAAAAUAUAUCAUCCUAGAGCAAACAUCAAGUUGUUAGCUUCAAAAUGAAAUAUGUCUGAGAAAACAUCACUGUCAGAAAACCCCAAACCCAGCUAGAUAAACAUAAAGAUCCUUGAUCCAACUUAGGCAAGCAUAAAUGGUGCACGCAAACACCUAUGUCAAAGCAUCUAUCACAUGGAGGAACAACACUAGCUAUGUGCUAUAUUCAACAUGCUUAUAAAAUAAAAAGUAGGAAAUUAAUUCCUAUGGCUGGCCAUUUAUGUACUACAGAAACUAUGCUCAUUUCAUCUAAAGUAUAUUGUGCAAAAGAAUAGCCUAACAGCCAGAUAAACCAAUAGAUUUGUAGUAGACAGUGAACAUCUGAAUUGGAAGAAAUCAGGAUUUCUGAAAUUCAAGAACACACACAAUUUUUAUAGCAGAAGAUGGAUCAGCACCAAGUUUAUAGCAGCACCUUUAUUGUAACAGUGAACUAGUGUGUCGCAUACAUGAUCAGUUCCAUGUAACAAGAACUUGCCAAGUUAGUGUACUGCAUACCAGAACUUGACAAAAUAAAAUAAAAAUUUUAAAAUCUGACAAAAACAAAAAACAAAAAAAAAUACAAAUAUGAAAAAAUGACUUAUUUUGAAACAAAACAAAGGGACAAAACUACAAAUGGGACACACAAAAGGUAUUUCUUUGUAAAAAAAUUUUAAAAAAGCCCACAACGUUUUUUCCAUUAUGUUUGUUUCUGUCCGAUUGUUAUAUUUUUGCUACAUAUUAAUUAGGUUGAUGCGCUACCGAUAGUAACUAUAAAAUCAUAUUAUUUACUCCGUUUCAGGUUAUAAGACGUUUUGACUUUGGUCAAAGUCAAACUGCUUUAAGUUUGACUAAGUUUGUAGAAAAAGGCAAAAACAUUUUCAACCCAAGACAAAUUUAUUGUGAAAAUAUAUUCAAUUAUUGAUUUGAUUAAACUAAUUUAGUAUUAUAAAUAUUAUUAUAUUUAUCUAUAAACUUGAAACAUUUUGAUUUUGACCAAAUUCAAAACGUAUUAUAACUUGAAACGGAGGGAGUAGAUCGUAGCCUAUCUUCUGUUGGUUUUGUAUUUUGUCGUAGCCUAAUUUCACAACACUGAAAAUUAUUAGUUCAAUUGAACGGCAAGUUUAAUGGUGGUAGCUAUGGCUAAGGAGUUCACACAUAUCCUUAAUGAAGAGAUAAUUUUUGUGCAUGGCAUAAGAAAAUAAGGAUUGUCACUGGCAGUCUAUGAAUGUAUACAAAGUGAUUUGAGGGUCUAUAGAGAAGAAAGACUUGCUGUGUAAUAACUAUUUCAUCAAAUAGAAAUUCUAGCUCAAAGUUACGUAACAUGUUCGUCUUAUAUACAGACAUCAGGAGGAGAGUGUCUCAAACAAGAACAUGCAUAGAAUAUAUGAUUAGAGCAUACCUAAUCUUAAAAAAAGAUAUGCACAGAACAUCCUCACACAUAUCCUGUGAUUAAAUCUAUUUAUUCUUUUUAUAACCGUUUGAUAGAGUGAGCUUUUUUUUAAGUCACUGAAGAAGGUCCAAUGCCCAAGCUUUUAGGCUGUGUUAUUUCCCAUGGGUUAAUAAAAGCUGUGUUCUUUCCCAUGGGUUAAUCCAUUUUUCAAGUUUUUAUAACUAAUAAUUAAUUAAUCACAUGUUAGUCUGUCGCUUUGUUUUCCAUGCAGAGGGGAGGGGUUCCCAACCCCUCCAAAAGAACACUGCCUUAGUGGGCUUCUUUAUUUCUGGCAUUCUACGAAGAAAAGUAUAUUUGAUAUGAAGUGCUUAAGCCCAUUCCAGUUUUUUAAUCUUUUGUUGUUGCUGUUUUUUUCUGGACGUGUCUUUCUUGGAGAUAGGUAAGGCUAAUUUUUUUCUCAUAUAUAUUGAUAUGAUAUCUGUACUGGGAACUAAAACAUAUUUUUUUAUAUAGAUUACACGACAGACGCACAUGCACACAUACCACUACACACGCAACACCACACUCACACCCCUACGAAUACGUCACUUAACACAUGCUUUAAGAGACGAAAACCAGUGGCACAUCCCUGGUUUCACUAAAAUCCUGUUGAAAGUCCACCUGUAUGUGCAUAAUAUUUGUGGGCAUUGCUCCAUAUACAGUCAAAGUGGAAAGGUAGGGAUAAUGAGUGAGCACUGCAUUUGCUAAGCUCUACAUUGAGAUAAAUGACAUAAGUAAUUUGUAUCAGGGAUGUUGGUUCGUUUUAUAUCAUUGGGUUGAAAAAUGAAAGUGGAGCCCAUGCUUUUCAAAAAAUAUCAGCACCCUCCCACCUAGAGGAGCUGAUACAACAUUAUCAGUACGUAAGCAAGACCCUAUUUAGUUGGCGAGACGAAAAGUUUUGGCGUGUUACAUCGGAUAUAUGUACACACAUUUAAAAGAUUAAACAUAGUCUAAUAACAAAAUAAAUUACAGAUUCCGCCUGUAAACUGCGAGACAAAUUUAUUAAGCUUAAUUAAUCUGUCAUUAGCAAAUAUUUACUGUAGCACCAUAUUGUCAAAUCAUGGCGCAAUUAGGCUUAAAAGAUUUGUCUCGCAAUUACAUGCAAUCUAUGUAAUUAGUUUUUUUCUAUAUUUAAUACUUCACACAUGUGUCAAACAUUCGAUGUGACAGAGUGAAAAAUUUUUGUUUGGGAACUAAACAUGGCCCAAGUUAAAGACAUGAAUUUCACCCGACAUUGAAUUUCACUGAUCACUGCUUUCUGUUCCCGACAUGGCCUACUUUAUCAAUCACAAGCAGCCACCCUUAUUGCGAGUAAAGAAUAGUAGUGACUGUUUUGUUUUACAAAAUCAAGGUGUCAAAUUGGCAUUAUCAAUGAAUGGUACCUGACCUAAUGUUUUUUCCUGGGUUUCGGAUCUGUGAUGUGAAGAAAGCUGGAUGUGUAGCUCCGGAAUUCAGGUAUUGCUUUUUGUUCAGGGGUGUAGGAAUGUUUAGAAAACAAAAAUCUAAAUGCACUCGCACAUACUUCAUACAGGAGUUGAUAAUUGAUUAGCUAAGCAAAUCAUGUGGGGAUUCUGAAGCACAGAUUGAAAAAGAGCACACAAAAAGUUCAUUUGGAGGUUCUGAAGCACAGAUUAAAUCUAUAACAUGCGGGGAUGAAGCAAUCAAGAGGAUGAGGAUGGAAGAACCCAAGUUGGGCUUCAAAUUUUUUUUUGAAUUUGUUUUUUGUGGAUAGGUGAGGCCGUGAGGGCCAUUUUAAGCCCGUUUGUUUGUUUGUUGGGCAUCAAAUAUGUAUGAUAUUUAAGCCCGUUUGUUUUUUGGGCUUAUCUAAUAGACAAAACGAAAAAGGGCUUCAUGCUUUGAUCUGACAAAACAAACUGCAGAGAAACGCUAUGCUACGUGCAGCGCGCGCGAUGCAAACACGUGUUGAAUCCGACGUUUAGGAAUUCGGCUGUAAUCACAAAUAUUUUCAGCCGUGUGCCACAUAGACAGUCCAUUAAAUAUCCUUUUGGUCAUGAAUUAAUUCGAUGGACGUUCUCACUCGUCGCCGCAAGUCCAGUGGCCCACUGGAUGCUUCCAUCUCCUCCUUGAUAAUAUGGCUCUCUUCGUCCACAAGCGAAGACCGUCGGUGGAUCAGGCACCACAUGCUUGGAUAGGCAAACCAUGGCCAAUCCUUCCACAUCCUUGCAUCCACGAAGCAUUGCCUUCCAACCAUCCAAUAGUGACCUCACCCUUGGUUAUAUAAUGACGAAUCUGUGCAGAGAGAGCCUCAGUACUCAAGCCGGAGGCAGCACACUGCAACUUAAGUUUUUCUAUAGCUCCUAGCAAGCUAGCAAUGGCUCCCUCGGUGAUGGCUUCGUCGGCCACCUCCGUGGCUCCCUUCCAGGGGCUCAAGUCCACUGCGGGCCUCCCGGUGAACCGCCGCUCCAGCAGCUCGAGCUUUGGCAACGUCAGCAAUGGCGGAAGGAUCAGAUGCAUGCAGGUAUCAGAAACGAUACGUUUCAAUUUCUCCUUCAAAGUGCUCGUUGUUCAUAUAUAUUAAAUGUUGGCCCGAUUCUAUUAUCUGCAUCAAUUCAUUCAAUCAGGUGUGGCCGAUUGAGGGCAUUAAGAAGUUCGAGACUCUGUCGUACUUGCCGCCAUUGACAGUGGAGGACCUUUUGAAGCAGAUCGAGUACCUGCUCCGAUCUAAGUGGGUGCCUUGCUUGGAGUUCAGCAAGGUCGGAUUCGUCUACCGUGAGAAUCACAGAUCACCCGGAUACUAUGACGGUAGGUACUGGACCAUGUGGAAACUGCCCAUGUUUGGAUGCACCGAUGCCACCCAAGUGCUCAAGGAGCUCGAGGAGGCAAAGAAGGCAUACCCUGAUGCCUUCGUUCGCAUCAUUGGCUUUGACAAC